rnacentral:lncRNA from 1 species
GGAGGGAGGAUCGGAGGAGUUGGUGGCUCGGGCAUAUCCGCAGAUCAACAAGCUUUUCCACCGAUGCAUCACCGCCUUGCCGCAGUCCCAGACCUCCAAUGGCCUUCUACUGCUUGUGGGUUCCAAUGGAUUUGCUUAAAUUUUCCCUUUUCAAGAAUAUUCUUGAUUUUAUCGUUUCGAUUGGCUUUUAAUCAUCUGUGAGAAUGUUGAAAUAUUGGCUCGUCGCUUCCACAUUUUUGUUGAGAUUAAUUCAAGAAACUAUUUUACUAUGCGUGACUCUGUAUGGUGUUCAUCUUGUAGCAUAUUGCGAAGUACCUAUGUAUGUGGAUGCGUGAUUUUGUGCUGUUUCUCGUUCACUAUUGGAGCUUGAAAGUUGAUAUCAUUGUUACCUGGAGAGUAUUUGGGUUUAAGGCUUAUUUCCCUUUUUAUAUGCCAUUAACCUAAACUUAGGAAUGUGGAAAUUCUUCAACUAAUCUUCUCUUUGUUAGUGUUGGAUGAUGUAGCAGUGAAUGUGUCCUAGAAGAAAAUACACAACCAGCUUUGAACUAAAGAAACUAUGAGAGGAACAAGUGGACUUUGAAUAUCUAUAGGACAAAAAAGUAAAGAAAAAGGAUGACAACAUGAAGGGGAUAAGAAAGGAGAACAAUGAAAGUGCAAAAGGCAGGUGCAUGUGUGCAACUACAUAUUCGAGUACUAUUAACAUUCUAGGUCAAGGAGUGCUAGGGUACACACGCGAAUAGGCCAAGGAGACCUACUCGUGGUGCACUUCUGCCACAUCACUUAAUAAUUUGUUUACCUUUCUCACUGUAACCUAUGAAUGGUUGGGAUGUUUCUUUCUCUUUUGCUCAUCUUUGUCGAUCUCCUUUUAAAUUACCCCCUCAUCUAUCAUCUAAAUCCACCCAAAAACACCAUGUCUUUUUCUAAACCAAAUCUCUCAUGCCCCCAAGAACUACUAGAAGCAUGCUGCACAAUUUCUCAAAAAAGGUCUUUUCGAGAAGAAGGGAAUUGAUGCUUUCUUCUACUCUUGUACCUCUGCUUUGUAAUCUUGGUCUGCUUUUCUAUCCAUCUACAAUGUGGUUUAAUUUAGCAAUGCUUGGAUCCAUCUAAUUUGUGGUGCACUGAUAGAUUUUGCUGCUUUAAGCCUUACUAGAUCAUCUAUUUUCCAAGGUACCAAGAAUUACCAAGAACCAAUGAAAUUGAUUGUUUGGCUCCGAUUGUGAUGGAGAACUGCUUUGCUGCCAUAAGUACUAGAUGGUAGAAGAGUGACAAUAAUGCCCAUCUCACAUCGUUGACUUUAUCCUAAUGCCAAGCACAUCCCUUGUUCUCAAAGUCUUGACCGAGUUAUUAUCCCCCCUAUUCUUAAAGUCUUGACUGAUUUAUUUGGCUGCCUCACCUUGUUCCUUGUUAUUUACAGCAUUCGAUCUUUUAUCCUAUUCUUGCAAAGAAAUUACUUUCAUAUAGCUAGAGAUUCUUGAGGUGUGCCUUAUGGACUUUGGGUUUGAUAUGCAUAUAUUCCAUCUAGGGUUUGUUAACUUCCUCUUCCAUCCCCUUCCAUCAACAAUAAAAAAAGAUUUGUAUAUAUUCCUUUUGUCUCAUGCUUAUUUGAUUGGAGCUUAGUGUGACCUUUCAUCCAUGUUCUUGUCUCUAUAGCAUUGGAACUUUUCAUAGUAGCAAACCAUUUGCCAUGGGCCUUGCUCUGAUAGGGGCUGGUUAGGGAAAGGGAGAGACAUCCAUUAGAUACCUGAGAAAAACUAGUCCAACUGGUUAUCUACUUCAUUAAGGGUGUGUUUUGGAAGUUCCCGCAGCAUCCAGUAGGAUUGUCUUAAAGGGAGUGCGAGGGUGGAAUAGAGGGGGGGAGUGAGACUUUUUAUCUCUCCUAUCAUCAUAAAUGACUUAAAUCCCCUGGAUGCUCAAGCUGACCACUGAUUAUCUUUCUUGUUGUCAUCAUUGUUAAGGAAAAUGAAUUCUUCAACUUUUUUGCUUAAUAUUUUUCUCAAUCUCAAAAUUGAAACUCUUGUUUUUAUGAAAAUAUUUCACUCUCUUAAACUACUUCAAUAUCAUUUUACAUUGCAUGUGCUACUCCAAGUUAUCUAUAUUAUUUGCUUAUGGUUUUAAACAAAUGGUAUCCAUUUUAUCAAUCCAAGCAUUUUCUUUGAUGCAGACUAUCCUUCAAUUUUUUCUUGAUUUUGGAGAAGUGGUUCUACAUGAUGCUGAUCCUAGUUUAAGGACCUUUUUCCGUUCAUGCUUAAGUAGGUAAUGAUAGUUCUCCAUUAUGUAAGAGUAUUGUACAUUUGUUCUUUUAAGCCUGUGGAUGGUCGAAAAAGUAUUGUCUGCAAUUGCUGUUUUACCAGUCAUACAAGGGAGUUACUUAUUUGGUUCAUGCACUGCUCAUAAUUGCAUUUUUUGGAUUGUGUAACCGAUACUUCUCUUGGCUUAUAUCUAUGUUUUAGAGAGAAAUGUAGUUCCCUGCAUCACAAUCUGCGCUCUCCCCUUUCAUUUUUUUUGACUCUAUCCAAGUCUAAAGUAAACCUGAAAGGGCUGGUUCAUGGCUGUACGAGCUUAAAUUGCAUAGCCAAUGAAGUAGUUUAUCUUUAAUCCCAAAUGGUGGGUUCAUGGCAUGACCUUCUCUUGCCCAAAGUUGUGCUAGCUGGGAACAUGGCACCACUGGUUGCAGGGUUAAUGUCAAGCUAAAAAUUGCUCAUAAAUCAGCUUGAGAUUUUGUUGCUCAUGCAUAGAUCCGCUGUCCCAGCAAAUAUAGAUUGGGUAAGGCUUGUUAAUUAAGGAUUCUUUUAUUGGGAACAAUGCGGAGAAAGAACUACUCUAGGAUCUCACAGUUAUGGGUCUUGAAGCAUCAUUGUAUCUCUUGCAAAUAAUAUCUCAAGUAAUAUAUUCUGUAAUCUCACUCACAAGAGUAAAUAAAUUUGGCAAACAAGGAACAACAAUAUUGAUAAGUAGAGAAUUCAACUUCCUCUUGAAGGAGAGCUAGUAGUUGCCACUAAAUCUUCAACUUGCUUUGGUGGAAUCAGCAAUGCUAAGAACUCAGAUAUAAUCAUGAAAUCAAUACCAACAUACAAGAGAAAACUUAGCACUUAAGAUUUUUCUGUUGAGCAUCCGUGGUUAAGCUUUGACUGCCAAGGAUUUUAUAGCUUCUAAGGCUUCCCUGAUACUUGGGUAGAAUUCAGGACGCAUUAGAACUGUAAGGGCAUAACUGCAUACUAUAUACAAUGAAACAUUUGAAAUCAGGGAAUAUUCUCUCUUGGUUCUGUUUGUCAUUUUUUAUAUCAGAAUACCUCUCCUGUUUGUCUUAAAAAAUACAUGAAUUACCCCACAAACUUUCUCAUUUGUGUUAACUACCACAUGUGCUCUCUUUCUUUCUUUUUCAAUCGGACUAGACCCCUUUCGUAGAACUCCCAAACAAAUUGGACUCUAUAUCUUUCUCUAAUUCGACUCUCAGAUAUAUUGGUUCAACUUCUAAACAGACUAAUCUCUUUGAUUUGACUAAAAUAGAUUGGACUUACCCAAGGUUUUAAAUUUUGGUAGGAGUGCCGGGCGUCCCACCAUCGCAAGGGAUAGGGCACUGUCUUAAGUGUCAGUACGGGAUGAGUCGGAAAAUGGACUAGGACAAGACAUCACAUCCAUCAUCCUGAGUAUUGGUAUACGAGGUGUUUCGUUCCACGGAAAACUUGGGAUAUUUCCGCACUGUGAUAUUUAAAACCUUGACUCUAUCACAUGCUCUCUCUUCUCUCUUCCAUUAAAUGUGCAUUCCAUUUGCUUGCUUGCUACUUAGAAUUCUAGGAAAUUCAAACUCCAUUAGGUUCCCUUCAACUUUUUGAAGAAAUACAGGUGGAUGGUUGUGUUAAUGAUGUUAUUGAAUCUAAUGCUGUUCUUUCAUCUAUCAAAUUCUGUUUAUAGUUCGACUAAAUUAUGACCUGUUGGACAUGCCAAGUAAUACUGUAUAUAAUUUUGCUUUUGUCUAGAAGCCAAGCCCAUUUCCAAAAGUAAAAUCCUACUCAAAUUAGGACACAACAUGAAUGUCAAACCAUUGGUGCUUCAAGGGGGAGUUGGGUGUAGUAUUUGAGAUUGUCCAAAAAGAGGAAGGAAAUAGAUAAGAAUCCAUCAUCAAGUUUUAAACCAUUGCCAAGUUCAUGCCUUGUUGCAACAUGAGAGGCAUGCCAUAAUGCCUGAGAUUUACUUGGUAAGGAGGCACAGAAAAUAUAUGUUUUUAAGCAAGGUAGGUUGAACCAGUAUCGGGAUCUGUAACAGCCAGGUAUUGGUUUGUAUGGUACUGUUUCGGUACUGUAUCGAACUAUCGACACUUGGUAUGCAUGGGACGACAUGCCUAUUUUUGUUUUUUUUAUUUUUUCAAUUUUUUUGCCUUUCUCAAUUUUUUGGUUUUGUGAGUAAUAUUAAUCUUAAUUUGAUUUUUUUAUGUGUUUUGAUGUGUUUUGUUGUUUUUUGAUGCCUUGACCCUAAAUUGACCAUAAUUUUAUCAUGAAAUAUAAUUAAAGUCGAUCAAUCGAUAUUUUUGUAAAGCAAAUUAGUGAGAUAAAUGACAUACAAUCAAGUUAAUGCAUUUUAAGUACAACAUACAUAUUGAUAUCUAAAAUUUGGUGGAGUAUUGAUAUCUCUCGUAGAUGUUGGGAUCAUUUAUGUGUUCGGGGGCAUAUCGCACUAAUGCUCCAUCCACGCAGUGUGAUAGUCCUCUAAGGUCAUCACAUAAGGUAUGUGCCCUAGGUCAAAACUAUUCUUUGACCUUUCGAUAUUCUGGCUUUGGCUUUGGGAGAAGUCGUUUAUCUGAUACCGCGGCUGUAGGAGGAUUCAUCCGAAUUGUUGUUAGCAAAAUCUGACCUCUAAGGUGCUCUACGUUGCAUAGGAUAGUAGCUACUGGAAGACGAUGCCUCAAAUAUACCAUAUUCGUACACAUAUGGGUUGUAGUCUGCCUGUGGGUAAUAGGAUCUGGUGCAUGAUUCGGAACCUAAUAUGUCCAAGAAUUUUACUCUACAUACGUGGUCAUUUGCAGCAGCAUCAUAUUUUGAAUGACCUCGAGGAGCUCUCUCUUAUAUGCAAUGGUAUUCUAGUGGGCUCUAGGUUGUGCACUAUGGUCUCUAUCUUGCAUGGCAGAAGUAAAUUAGAAUUCUUUGAUAAUUCAAGGAUCAUCUUGGGGUUGUCUCAUAAAUGGUGGUCCCAUGUCCUCCACUCCCUCUUUGGCCGCCAGAUGCGUCAUUAUUGGAACUAUUGUCGUUGCUCUUUCUGAUCUCUUAGUCUGAGUGAAUAGACACUUCUUUCACCCUCUCCAACGAGGCUGCAAUUGCCUUUUUUUUUCUUUCAUGCUGGGUUGAGCAACUGCCUUCUUUUCCUUCAUACUCUUUGUCUAGACAUGCUGGGAGGAUGGAUGAUGCCCUACUGACUGAGUGGACUAGAUAGCGUAGUGGUUUCGUCUGAGGAUUUCUCGAUCAUAUCUCUGGGAGCAAGGUUCAUCGUCUCGGUACCGGACUUCGUACCGGUGCCACACUAGCACUGUAUUGGUAAGGUACGAUAUGGUCUCUUUCAGCGUACUGACACUCGGUACGCUAUUCUAUCGAGUACCGUACCGUUACGGUAUGCCUCGUACCGUCCAGUUCGGGCCAGUACGGCGAACCAUGUCUGGGAGGAUGUCUCAGACAUGGAGCUGCUUGAUGAUUGACUCCUCAUUGACCCCUCUAGCUAAUCGACUAAAUGCGAGGGUGGAAUGUUAUGCUUUGCCCAUUGCUCCAUAUCUAGCUCAGCCUUUCUAGCUAUAAAACUGACCGAUUGUGGAGGCGAUCUUAGCUAAUUGAGUUUUGGCUACUACGUUGGCCCUUAAGCCAACCAAUCAUGGGAUCAUCCUCAUGCUGCAUGAAAUCAUUAUUGAGUAGAUCAUUAUACUUCAGCUCCACUUUCUUCUGAAUACACUUCAGUCUUAACCUUAGAUUGUAGUGGAUAUAUACGAGAUCAUUGAGGCGCUUCUGUAUUAGAUCGUUCCUCUGCAUGAUGUGGAUAAGGGCGAAGGUGGACCAGUUACGCUUACAACCGCUUAAGGAGACUGCUUGUGAGAGGAUCUGGAUAGCUAGCAGCGUAAUGCUUCUAGCCGACCUUUCAAAAUGAAUCCACUAUUCAGCUGUAAAAAUAUUUAAAAAAUUAUAUAUAGGAUAGUAAUAGUUAUAAACCGUCAAGUAAUAGUUAUAGACUUGUAGUUGAUAUCUAGUAUACAUGGAUCAUAGUUUUCUUGCCUGCCACAACUGAUUUCUUGUCAAAGCUGUUAGAGCCCUCUCGAAAUAUUUUUGUCUAUGGAAAAGAGAACUUUAAGUUAAUGAUUGAAGACAUGAGUUAACUUACUUCUUCAAGACACUGGGUUACAACUUCUGGAUCAGGUUCUAUCUUGUAGAUUGCAUUAUGCAGAGGGGCUCGUCCGUAUCAAUUUCAAAGACUGUGUAUUGGAACCUUGAGUUCAAACGGUAAGCUGCCAAUACAGUAUGCAAUUGUUUUAGUAAAAUAUUUACGAAUAUAAGAGUAUUCAAUGAAAAGUAUUUCAAUGUACAUUCUUACCUUCUAGAUGCAACUUUAUAUCCAUCUAAUAGUCCCACCUUUGCUCGAGGAUGUUGAUGUAUUGCUGGGCAUGCUUUGGAUCUGUCUGCUUGAUCUUAGCCUUUGCCAUGACCAUCAUAUGUAAGGCUGCAAAUGGGUCGGGUCGACCCAUGACCCGACCUGACCCGACCCGCGUAGACCUAACCCGACCCGAAUUUUAGGAGCCACGGGUCCGGGUCGGGUCCUAAAAUUGGACCCGAUCAUUUUCUGGGGUGGGUCUGGGUUUACUGAACACACCCGACCCGACCCGAAUAGACCCAAAGAGAGAGAGAGAGAGAGAGAGAGAGAGAGAGAGGAGGANNNNNNNNNNNNNNNGAGAGAGAGAGAGAGGAGGAGGAAAAGCCUUAGAGGCCUAAGGGGAGUAGGGUUCAAGUGUGGAAGGAUAGCAACAAGCAUAGGUUCACAGAAUCCAAAGGAACCUCGGCCCGUCAGGAUUCUCUCUCGAUCUAUUACACUGUUGAUACCUCUGGUGUCUUGGUAGCUAGCUUUUUUUUUUUCCUUCUGUUUUUUGGUUUUUGUUUCUUUUAACUUUUGAAGGGAGAAAGUGAGGGAACACUGAAUUGAAUAUGGGUCAUGUGCCAGUUUUCUACAAUGGAAUUGGAUUUUGGAAGAAGGUUUGGGAUUUUUUUUGUCCUCGUGAGAGGGGAGCUGGGAGACACCAAGUUCCAUUCAAUCAGUCAUAUAGAUAAAAAAAGUGUGAUAUGAAAUUUGGAUUGUAGACUGACUUAGUAAGUCAUGGGUCAUCAGUUCUGACUGAAGGUCAAUUGCAAGUCUUUCAAGUCAUGGGUCACCCAGCACCUCAUAAUUAUGGUAUGACCAAAUUAGAUUUGCCCAAAUCUUUUCCCAAAAGCACAAAGAAAGCGGACUCGAUUCGGACCCGAACCCGACCCGACUUGGACCCGGACUCGACCUGACCCGACCUUAUCUUCAACCGGGUCGGGGGGGGUCACUCAGGACCCGACCCGACCCGACCCAUUUGCACCCCUAAUUAUAUGAUACAGAAAGUCCAUCUGGAGGAAUCUCUUGUUGUCCAUGGCUCGAAGGUCUCCAAUAAUGGCUUGAUAGCCUUCACGAUCAUCUCGACUCUUUGCUAGAACUACUAGCUCGUCACCAAGUGCUCCAUGUAGCUCUCCUUAGUGUCGACCCUCGUAUAUCUGCUCUCCUACUGAGCACUGACAAGCAUCUAAUGCGGGCUUGCUUUCUUCUCAAGGAGGCUAUCAAGUACAAUAUAAUUAGUAGCAAGCCGUGUCACUGCUGGUCUCAAGAUCUCCUCUUCUAUGUACUUUCUCAUCAGUGUUAGGAUUUGGGUAGUUAAGCACUGACAAACUUCCGAUGCAGGCCAUCUUUCUUCUCAAGGAAGCUAUCAAGUACAAUAUAAUUAGUAGCAAACCGUGUCACUACUGGUCUCAAGAUCUCCUUUUUUGUGUACUUCCUCAUUAGUGCUAGGGUCUAUAUGUGGUUUUAUAUAAACCUGGUGAUGGACUAGGUUGUCUCUAUGGUUUGCUGCACCCUACAAAUCUUCUUGAUCUCCAUCAACAUGAGAUCGAUAUAGUGUGCAGCACAUGGAGUCCAGAAAAUUUGUAGCUGUCGCUCCAUCAAGAUCUUCUCGACAACCUUGUACUGUGAUCCAUUAUUAGUGACCACCUAUACAACGCUUUGCUCUCCUACCUGAUCUCACAUGCUCCAUCAAUCUUAGGAUGUACGUGGCGUCAUGCGCCUGAUCAAAAGCAUUAACAGACUUGUGAAAGGUCUUCAUAUCAUAAUAUGUCAAAAAGUUGAUGCUUCAUAUGUUGGGAUCGGUCCAACCAUUACACAUUACGGUUAGUCCAUAUUUGCCCUACUUGCUCUAGUAGGAGGUAAUCCACUUAUGUAGUUCCUUUUUAUUGGUAUCAAAGAGUUCACCAUAUAUAUCCUUUGGUCCUGAAGGAUCCAAACCUGGACCGGCAAUCUGUAUGGAGGCGAUGGUAGAUCGAUAGUAUGUGUUGCCUAUCGAAUUUACUAUGAUGUGGUUGAAGUGAAACCAGGAUGUACUAGCUUGCUACAUGUCCUUUUGUCCUUCACGAGCAUAGUGUUGAUCCUUUGCUACUUUGCAUCCUUGAUGGGAAAGGUACGUGGAUCUAGGCCAUAGAUGGUGGCUCGGUGGAAUCUCUGUAAAGGACUUAUUCAUUUUUUUGCUACCAAAGAUCUCCAACAUAGAUGUAAUAUGGCUCUCGCCUCUACUGACGGCCUCCUUGACUAAGGAGGUCUUUUUGGAGCUGCAUUGGGUGCCCCAACACUAGAGCCUGACUUGAACCUUUUGCCUGGCCACCUUCUCUAGCUACCACUGGUCAUCUAGGCUCGCUUAAAUGGUAGACUGGGUUUGCACCUCCUUAUCAUUUGAAAUAGAGGCUUCCUUUGACUCCAUGGAGUGAUAAAAAGGUAGCUUUGGUGCUUGGCGAUUCUCCUCCGCCCUCUUUUGGAUAGCCUUCUGUUUUACUACUGUGAAAUCAGAAGUAUUUUUUCUUCAACUGUUGGACCUUCUCUGGGUAUUUGCGGCACUUGGAUACAUCGGAGUAAUGACCAGCCAGGGGCUGCUUCAACUUUGUUACCCCUUUUUUCUUGAACUUUAUGUUACACUAGUUUCACCCCCAGUAGUGCCGAUCUAAGAGCAUCUGCUUAUGCUCUCAAUCAUAUCAUAUGCUGGAUCUUUUUUCUUUCUGGAUGGAUCCAUUCCUGUAAGUUGGUCGAGCACAUGUUAUUUUAUUAAUUAUUUUAAAAUAGUAAAAUUUUUCUCUGAUGUAAAAAUAUAUUUUCUACUUUAGAAAAUACUUUUGAAUUAUCUAUACAUAGUAUUAAUUUUUCAUAUUUUUAUUAAUUAUAUAUUUGUUAAAUUCUAUAGAUUAAAAAUAAAAUUUUAAAUAUAAAAAAUCCAAAAAAUUAAUUUGAGCUCAGAUUCGUAUAACACUCUACCAUGAUGCUAUAUAUAUUUUUUCUCAGUCCACAGGCUUGCAUGGAAGGCCACUUAUUUUUCAAUUUUAUUUAAAAUUGGGCCUACACGUAUGAUCGCGUCUAAACUUGAAUAAAUUGGCACCAAAUUUUAGUCAAGAGUAGCAUGCAUACUUCUAAACAUUUUUUGAUUUUACAAUAAUUUUUGACUUUAUUUUAUUUUUAUUUUUUAGUCCAAAUAUAUAUUUUUAAUUUAAAAAUUAUAGAUUUAAUAAAAAAAUAAAGAUUUUAGUGGGAUUGUAUAGAUCAUCCAUAGAUCUACAAUAUAUUAUGAAAUGUGAAAAUUGAAAUUUUGGCAUGAUCUUUCUCUAUUUUUCAUGUUAUUGCCGUUUUCCGAAAAUGAAAAAAUUGAAGAAAUGAAGAAGGGGGAGAGCCACAUUACCUUAUUUUGGGUUGGAUGUGCCCUUAAAUCAUGGAAAUCUACUGAUUUUUGGUGAUUAUUGGGUUUUUUUGAAAAAGAAAAAGGCACGAGAGGCCUUCUCAGGCCAUCCUAUUAUUGAAGCUGCUUUGCGUGGGGGAAGGGGGGUUGCGAACCACCCCGUAUCGGUGCGAAUCGGGUGGUUCGCACAGGUACCGCUCCAACCUGCCCGAUUUGGAGCAAUUCUGAAUAUUUUCCAAACCAAAGGGUAGAGCCGUCCAGACUCUACCUCGGUUUUGCUCGAUACACCCCAGACCGGGUGGUUCAGCUCGGUACAACAUUCCAUGUUCUUAAGCUUUCUUUGUUAGCAAUACAUUUGUUUAUGAGACUCUCCUUUCCCCUUUGAUGAGUUUGCAUUUCUCUUGGUUUCAGGAUUCAAAGAGCCCCAUUUCCAUCAUCCAUCAAUAUUGAUUAUUUAUUGGAAGGCUCAAGUGAUUCUGAGGGGAAAUUGCUGAAUAUUAAGUAUUAGAUGAGACUAGCUAGAGGUGAUGAAUUACAGGAGUAGUGGGUAUACUGAUUCAUGAUGUUUGGAUUCCAUUAUUAGAUGAGAAGCUAGUGAAUAGGGGUGCAUUUCGAGCGUAAAAAAUGUACAAGUUGCUGAAUAUCUUCCUGCCUUUAAUCAUGAAGAUUAGUCUCCACAAGUACAACAUGCAGCAACUCACUCAUGAAAGCCCUUUUCUCCAUCUCUUAGUUUAGAUAUUUGACCAAAAUUACAUGAGUACAACCUGAGGCAUCAGUUUGGUUUCAGUCAAACUUACUACUCAAUUAUGCGGUAAAAAUUUGAGGUUUUCUCACUGGUAGGAAUUGUUCACACUGGGAGGAGCAUUCAUUCUUUCUCGAAGGGUAUAACGGAAAGCCUUGAUUCGGUUUAAAUUUAACAAGAAAAAAGUUCGAAUGGUUGAUUAGUAAAUGCUAAUACAUGUCUGACUUUCUACAUGACUGACUUUCCGUCAUUCAUUUCUACCAGAAAAUCCCUAGAGCUGACUGGGAUGAUGGUCAAUACACCCUCUUUAUAGAACAGUACUCUUCUUCAUGUUCUUUUCAGAUCUGAUACAGGAGAGUGCAUUCAUUAUAGAAUGGGGUACCUAUUAGUUUGUCAAAGGCACUCCCCACUAUCUCAAUAGAACAUCAUACACUGUCUAAGAUUGGUUUGUCAUCAUGUUUUUCCAAUAUCGAGCCUUAUAUUUCUAUCUCAAAAUAACCUAGUCAUUAUCUAAUUUGCACAUUUACCAUUGAUUUUUCGAACAUCAAAUAGCCGAUCAAGCCUAUCUCUAUACAAACUCUGUUUGUUAACACAUAUGUGCCCUAGUUCAUUCUCCCUCCCCAAAAAGUGGGAGUGUAACAUGAGUUCCGACAAACAAAAAAAAAAAAAUCUAAUCCGAGAUAACUAAUUCAUCAUUAGAUGGGUUUGGUGCCACCUCUCAAAUAGUCAUUGAUUAUCAACUCCUUCCUUAAGUCAGACGCAUGCACUCAAGGUGUCACAUGCACUGCGCGUAAUAGAUGCAAUUAUAUGCUAGUGCUUGGUAUGAAUUGAUGCAUGUGAUACCUGAACCUAGUGUUCAAUGGUUAAGUUUAGGUGCACUGGUUUACUGGAACUUGUCUUUAGAUUUUAUAUUACGCACCUUUCAUGCUUAUCUCUUUCUCUGUAGUGUUUCUGAGAGAGAAAUGAAGGGAGUGCAGCUUGUAAAAUAAGAGUGCUUAAAUUGGCUUCUAGUGCCAUUUUCCAAUUUGGAGGGUUUCUUUUUUUCAUAACUAUAAAUUGUUUGCCCUAGAGCUUGGUUGUCUGGAAUAUAUGCAGCUUUUUGGUCAUGGGUAGGAUCCUUGUAUCAUGCAUAUAUGUAUACAUUAUGCAUAUUUAUAUGCAUGUACUUGUGUAAAAUGUUUCUAUGACCCAAUUAACAUAUUUCUGCCAUGGUGAGAAAAGUUAUGGUGGCUAUCCAAAAUGACAAUUGAUGCUUAUUAUGGUAAUUUAUAAAUCGUUAAACGCUUAUAGGUUACCAUUUAUCAUACUAAAUAUAUAUCCAUUUUGUGACCACUUGAUGUGUAGGCAAGAUAUCUCCAAGACUCCAACCAUUUGAAUUUUUGGUUUUUAGGAUUUUUAGAUGAAGAAGGUUGCCAUUGACAAUGUGGAUCGUCAUUUGGAUGGUUCACAUUGCCACUGGAACAUCAUAGCUGGCCUAUAUAUGUUAAGGUAGACUUUUAGGAGAAUUUGAGCAUGAUCUUUCUCCGUCCACACUACACAACGAGCAUCUAAUCACAUUGUCAAUCAUGACCUGCAACAUCUAAAAUGGCAAAAUGUGAAAAGGCAAAGGUCUUGAAGUUUCUUAGACUAUGCAUUAAGUGGGUACCAGACGGAUAGUCUUCAAUUAUAACAAACUAUGUUUUGAUUUCUGGAUUGGAAGCUUACAAACCUUUUAGAUGUGUUUUACAAUAAGAUCAUGAUCAUUGCAUAUGUUCUUAGUUUAUAUAAUCCACGAUGAGUUUUCCACCCAUUUCUAUUGUUACCAUCCUUUUCAAUAUUUCAUGGCCACUUGGUUCUUAGGAGAUCAAUCUUCAAAACCAUUGAAGUUGAGUUUUAUUUGCAUGUUGAUGUAUAAUGAUUAGACUUCAUAAUUUUAUACAUGUUUAUGUAUACAUGUAUUCAUGUAUAAAUAAGGUUGCAAACGGGUUGGGUUGACCCGUGACCCGAUCCGUCCCGACUCCAUUAGACCCGAUCUGACCUGGUUUAAAGGAUCCAUAGGGCUGGGUCAGGUUCUAAAAUUGGACCCAUUCUAUUUUUUGGGUCGGAUUUGGGUUUACUAAAUUCUAACUCGACCCAUUUGAUUUUUGAAAAUUUUUGGGUUUUCUACCUUAUAACCUGACCUAACCCAAACCCGAUACACCGUUGGUCUCGGAAGGUUCGGAACUUACUAGGCCCAAUUUUGAUGUUGUAGCCUGCACUAUCUAGGCUAUGGUGUUGGAGAAUCAUGGGCCUAUUCAGCUGUAACCACGUAGGCCCGCCGAGUUACUAUACUGAUUGCUGUUGGGGUGAUGGUGACCCAACAGAGAGGUUGCACCCAUGCGGUGAUCAAAUGUGACUGCGAAGCUAAAGCCUUAAAAGGAGGACCAUGGAUACAUCUCUACCUGGCCCUCUCAAAUGCAACCCCACCCCUUUUCUUCAUCUCAUAGCCCUUCUACAUUUCUUUCUCAGUCCACUGUCCGCCACCACCCAAAGCCAAGCCCAGUUAACCUUGGAAUAGGAUAAAAAAAUUAAGUACAAGGAAUGACAACUACAGAGAUCUGACCUGGACCCGACCCAGACCUGGAUUUUUUGGGUUGGGAUCAGGUUAUAUAUAGACCUGAUCGGAUCCGAAUGACCCAUUGGGUCAGAAAUUUUAACUAUUGACCUAAUCCGACCCGACCCGAUCUUCUAUGGGGCCGGGUCUGGGUCUAACAUUAGAUCCGAACAAGGAACCGGGUUGGGUCGGGGUGACCCAAUGCGACCCGAUCCAUUUGCACGCUUAUGUAUAAAUGAAUGUUAUGUAUGAGUUGGAUUAUGUAAUUGUUAUUUAAUUUUUAAAAUCAAGAUAUCUUAUUAUUUGGCUUUGGCUGGUACCAGUGGUUGAUUCUGACUUGAUCAACAUGAUUCAUGGGUUUCAUAUGCUUGUAUGCAUAUUUGUACAUACAUCCAUAAAUACAUACAUGCAUAUAUAUGCACACAUACAUAGAUCUAUACAUACACAUAUAUAUACAUUACAUGCAUACAUAUAUAUACGCAUACAUACAUACAUAUGUAUAUAUAUAUAUAUAUAUGUAUGUAUGUAUAAUGUAUGUAUCUAUGUAUAUAUGUAUGUAAAUGUGCUGUAUGUAUGUAUGUAUCCACAUAUAUUCAUCUAUUUAUAUAUAUACAUAGAUUUACAUGUAUACAUAUAUGUACAUAAAUACACAUACAAAGAUAUACAUAUGCAUAUAUGCGCAUAUAUAUAUAUAUAUAUAUAUAUAUAUAUAUAUAUAUAUAUAUAUNNNNNNNNNNNNNNNNNNNNNNNNNNNNNNNNNNNNNNNNNNNNNNNNNNNNNNNNNNNNNNNNNNNNNNNNNNNNNNNNNNNNNNNNNNNNNNNNNNNNNNNNNNNNNNNNNNNAGUUAAAUGAACUGUAUUCAGUACAUCUUUUAUACUUGCUUCUGUACAAGAUUUUUUUUUUUUAAUACUUUGGUUUGAUAAUGGAUUUAAAUAUUCUAUCUACAUUGUCUAUCCAAGCAACUGAAAAAACACAUCACUAGAAUUUUAAAUACUGCAUAUGUUAUCCAUAAUGCCUAAAAUUUAUUUCAUGGCACUUCAAGGCAUACUGUAGUCAUUUUCUUUUCAAUUUGGAAUAGACAGAUUGUAGGAGAGUAGUUUUGAUGCAAACAGAUUUCAGAAUCAGUUAUGUCAGCAUCACAUCCAAGUCGGUUAAAUUUUGGAUCUUGAUCUUGAUUUUGUAUCUGAACCUAACUGAUAGGUCUGAAAUACCUUAUGGAUUAACUCCAGACUUUCUUGCUGAUUAAUCAGCUCUCUCUCACACACACACACACACACACACACAACAACAACAACAACAACAACAACAAUUUAUUCCUGUAUUAGACGGGUAUUUAACUAUUGUAGUUGUUUCUAACAACCUACUUUGUUUUCUUUGUUGUUGCAGGGAGUUUUCAGACCCUGUUGUUGCGGAAGCGACCCUUGACUUUCUUAACUUGAACAUGAAAAAACUUCUCAUUUCAUUUCCCACUUUACUCCCACAGGUAUAAUUUUGUAGAUUGAAGUUUCCGAACAUCAAAAAAUCUGCAUGUUUAUGAUCCUGAAUGAAGAUGAAAUUCAAAAUCCUGUGUAUAGUUUGCAGUUCGCUGUAUUUACUUAUAUGAUAGCAGCAUUUUAAAAAACAAUUACUUUAGUAUUAGACCUGUUUAAACUUUAAAUGGUAAUCACAUACGCAGGGGCGGCCCAAUACAUUUGGGGGCCUAAGACGAACUCAUUAAAGAGGCAUUUUUUUUAAAAAAAAAUAAUUUUUUUUAAUAAAUGCAAAAUAUUUUAAAAAUUCAUUUAAAAAUAAUAGCUAUUAGAUGUUCCGAAAUCAGUGCUUACAAGUAGUGAAAAGCUACGAGAAUAGGGCCCAUUUAUGCUUAGCUAUUAGUGUUUAGAAAUCUAAACCUUCAGCACCCUUUAAUAACUUAGCUAUGUGCAUUCAUCUACACCACAAAUGCUUUCCAAUGUAUGUGAAGAGGCCCUGCCCCAAAGAAUUUACAACAUACCUGAUCACAUUAGAAGAUAGCCCAAGCCAAGGCCUUGUUGAAGAGAACCCUUCCUUUUAUCAUGCUCACCACAGACCUCACCCCCUGGGUUAGACUAUAACCUGCAGCUAUCCCAUUAGCCAUCACCAGAAACCUGCAACCCAAGAUGUCUUCUAGAAAUUAUAAACCCAUUACAGACUAACACCAGUUUAUUUUAAAAAAAGUAAUAAAGCUCCACUUUGGAGAAGAGAAAAGUAUCCCACCGAAAACUCUGGCAUUGACCAAAUUGAAAACUCUAACAGAAACAAAUUGAUGGGUAACAAUGGAAGGAUUCCACGGGCUUACACCAAAGCCUUCAUGUCUGUAAACUUGGCUUUUUUUUCCAAGGAGAAAAACCUUCCUGACCUGGGUGUCAGAGCCCACCAGAGCAAUAGGAAAGAAAAAAAUGGAAGAACAAAUAUAAAAAGCAAAAAAAGGAAGAACAAACAUAAAUCUACUGGGCAUUAUAACAAACAUAUGGUAGACAACUCAAUCAUGGUACUCAAAAUGAAAAUAAAAACUAAAUCUACUGGGCAUUACAACAAACAUAAAUCUACUGGGCAUUAUAACAAAUAGAUGGUAGACAACUCAGUCAUGGACUCAUGGUACUUAAAAUGAAAGUAAAAUUAAAUCUACUGGGCAUUACAACAAACAUAAAUCUAUUUGGUUUAUUAUUUUCUUUUUAUCAGUUUAUGUUACUGUUUUAUUACUUAUUUUAUGAAUUUACUAUCUUACAUUGACAUCAAACUUAAAUCAUUAGUACUUGGAAAAAUCGGCUAACAACAUUGUCAUGAUAUAUGAUGUUUGAACCUAAGGUGAACUUAACCUCAAAUAGACCUUAUUUCCCCAUCACCCCAUUUAAUUCUAUUGACUAAAGUUGCUGUCCUUCUCUAGAAUCUCAACUCUGGACCCAAUUCGUUUAGAAAAGUGUUAUUUCUCACAUAGAUUACAUCAUCCUGGAAGCCUAAAGAAGGUGAAACAUGACCCAAAUCCCCUUCCUCCUCCAAAAAUUAUACAAAAAAAAAUCCUUCUCGACAGCAAAAAAAAAAAAGAAAACCGGAAGGCUCUUGUCUUCCCGACCCAAAAAUCCUUCUCGCUAGAUCCCAGAGUCCCCAGCCCCUUGCCCUUUGGUUGGCUCCGGAAGUCAAUCGGAACUCGAAAGACUGAACACUGAAGUCCCCCAAAAAAAAGAAAACCGGAUCCGGAAGUCGAAAGCUCACCUGGAGAGGGCGGAGGGCUGGGAAGGAGAAGAGAUGCCAUCACGCCGGCGACGCUGCCUCCCUGAUCCCUCUUCGGCCGAGUGCGGACUGCGGAGUGCCGGCCCGACAGGGAGGUCCGAGGACGGCGAACGGAGAAGGACCGAGGACGGUGGACUUUAGAGCGGAGCCGACUAGCCGAGGAGGCCGGAGCCCGGAGGUCGGAGGCUCGAAGCCUCGGAGGAGCCGAGGACGGCGAGGAGAGAUGUAGCGGUGCUGCGGUGGAGCCUGGAGAGGACUGCCCUAACUGGAGAAGGUUCAGCAAUAAAAAGAAAGCACCGUCAGAGAACUGAGAAGGGGGGAGAGAAGGGGGGAGGAAAUGUCCGUUGCUUGUCAUUUGUCAAUUGUCGUAGCCGUUGCCUAGGGCCGAGCCAGUCUGUCAUCGGGGAGACGCCGAAGGGGAUGCACUGUAGCGGCGUAGCCCGGUAGCCGUCGCCCACUGCCCAGCUAUGACUCUAUAAGCUAGCUUUCGGAUAGGAAAGGCUGAAAGCUAUGCAUUAAUUAAGCCAAAAAAAAAAACUAGUGCGGUGGGGUGGGGGCCUUAUGCGACUACCUCAGUCGCCUAAGGCCCGAGCCGGCCCUGCACAUACGUUGCACACCAGUUUUGCAUAUGUUGAUGAAAUUUUCUUGAAACAGUCCGAAGCUCAUUAAAUUAACUAGUGAUUGACUAGUGAGAUAUAUUCUCUUUAAGUUAAUUAUCAUCACUUAAAAUAUAUUUUGCUGCAAUGCAGAAAGGUUGAUUCCCUACAGCUUGUUUGUUCAAUCACACAAGUUUCUACAUGUUGUUUGAUUUAAAUAUCAUGUAUGGAAACUCUUGUAUCAAAACACCUUUUGUAUGCAUAUGAAGGAAGAAAAGAGGGUGAAUUAGAAAGAGAUUUCGAGGCUUUGUAUGACUGUCAGUUUAUUUGGUAAUAGUUGACCGCCAAAAGUUAUCAGGGGUAAUAGGUUGGAUUGUUUUCUUUGAACCUAGCAGCUGGAGUUGUGCUGUUGAGGCUCAGCAGUCUGAUGGAACAGAGUAAUAGACACUACUGUAGCAUGGUCAUGUGAAUUUGGAUUUCUGCAUUGCAAUAAACAUAUGCCCUGUUGUAAUGCUGGCAUUAGCCUCUUCCACUGUACCUAUAUUGCUUGAUCUUAUUACCCAGGUUUUAUUCCAUAUCUAUCAUGAAAUAUCGGCCUCUGCAUUUGAAUGGUGAAAAGAUCUAACAUCUCACUUAGCUUUCCUUUUGGAGGUAGUUAAAAGAAUUAGGAUCAUAGCUACACUUACUCAUGUUGCUUGUAUAUUUAAAAGAUGGUUGUACUAGGGAAGCAUGAAAGUAUCUUGAUGAAAUUAUUCCCCCCUCUUUAGGCUUAAUUUGGUGGACAACGUAAGUUAAGAUGAAGUGGUUAACCAGAUGUUGAUGUCCAUACGGAAAUACCUUUGUUGAUCAAUAGUGAUUUGACAUGAGCACUAUUACUAGAGAUAGAGGAUCACUCUGACAAAGCAAUGAAGAUCUGCCAAAAAUGGAUCUGCAUGUCAUACAUGAGGAGCCUCAUUUGGCAUUGGCACUUCCAAAACUGUAGUUGCGCCACAGGUCUCUCAUAUUCUUUAUUUGUUCCUUGUAAGCUUUUCAUGUCUCUACCAACUUCAGGAACAACUAAGCUUUCCGACCUAUGAAAUUAUAGUGCUGAAGUAAUACUUGUUUUUGCCACUUCUCACCGUUAAGGCUUAUUCUAUUCAUUCAACAAUAAGUUCUCCCUGUAUUAAACUUUAUGUGUGCUCACCUUUGAUUUGGAGGGUCAGCAAUGAUAUUGUGUGAAUAAUUAGAUCAUCAGGAUGAAAAGUAGUUAUAUGUUAUUCCAAUUAACUUCCAUAGGGAAAUGCCAUUCAUCAAGUUAAGGAGAUAUGGCAGAAGCAUGAUAUCUAAGGAUGCUGUUUAUAUCUGCAUCUUUUAUAAAUUUUUAAUUGCUUUUUAAGUUAAGGAUGAUCCAGUUUCUGAACUAGUUGAUAUGACUUGAAUUUGGUGCAUGUAAUCUAAUAGAAAAAGAAAAAUGAAACAGUCUAUGGGUAAACAUAUGGUUUUUCAAGGUAAUGCCAAGUCUUUACACUAUAUAUUAGGGGCAAGGAUGGUAUGUCUUGAAUCUUUCAGAUCAGGUUUUGAUAGAAGCCUUAGUGUGGAAUUUAUAGGGAAAGCUAUUCUUGAUGUAUAGAAACUUGAUACAUCCAAUAAAUUGCUGGAUUUUUCUUAACGAAGAUUUAAGCUUUCUAAGUGUUUAAUAAUAAUGCAUUAUACAAGGUCGGCAAUACCGAAACUGGCAGUACAGUAUGGUACGUCCUCGUGCUGUGCCGUUUCGGCAUGAACUGACAGGGAAACCAGCAAGGGAGGGGGAGAGGAAGAAGGAAAGAGACAGAAAGAGAGAGACGAGGGAGGGAGGGAGGAAAAGGGAGAGAGCAGGAGAGCGCGAUAGAGAGAGAGAGAGGCGGAGGGAGAGGGAGAAAGAAGAGAGGAAAGAGAGGAGAGNNNNNNNNNNNNNNNNNNNNAGAGGGAGAGGGGGAGAGAGAGGGAGGAUGGGAGGGAGAGAGGGAGAGGGCGAUGGUGAAUGAUGGCCGCUGGAACAUGACCAAGGGAGAGGGGAGAGAGGGCUUCAAUGACCACCGGAACAGGACCGAGGGUCCAUGUGUCGGAACAGGGGAGGAGGCUUCGGUCCCUUUUUUAAUAUAUAUUUUUGAUUUUUUAAAGUGAAGUCAGCAUCCACUACCGACUUCACCUAUUAUUUUCUUUUUCUAAAAUUUUUAAGUGAAGUCGGCGACGUGGCAAAAUUUGACUAUGUUCACCUAGGCCACUGAUAGGAUGCCAGCCUUUCUUCUACCAUGUCAACCAUCUUUUCCGUUGCUUUGCUAGUCAUCGGUAAAAUCUGAGCCAAACCUAGAUUGGUGAACUUGGUACCUGACUAGUGCCUUGUUGCAUAUAGUGUUACUAUGCCAGAUGGUAUCGUACUGUAUUGACCCGGUACCUGACCAGCGCGAGUCAUGGUAUUGGUUCCAAACCUUGGACAUUUAUUGUGUACAUCUUUGUCUUCUCUUGCUUGUGCUAUGGGUUAACUUAUUCGUUGGGAUCUCACUAAUUCUUCUUUCUAAUUUCUCCAUGGAAAGCUACCUAGCAUGUAGUGGUGGCAAAAUUUGACUUGUACCUGGCAACUUGCAUGAAUCCACCUAGAAUAAUUAAGUUCAGGUGGGUUUUCUUUAAAGUUGAGUCAGUUCCUCGCUGACCCAAAACCAACUCGGUUAAAAAUGGGUGGGUUUGGGUUUAGCCACCGAACUCAAUGGGUCUCUUGAAAUGAUGGGUUUAAUUGUCUCCUAGAUCCAACAUGAGUUGUAGUUUCCUAAUUUUUCCAUACGGUUUAGUUCGCUAAAAGAUGGAUAGGGUGGUCCAUGAGAUUUAGGAACCUGGAAGUUGCAUUUUAGCUAUUUUUAUCCUUAAUUAGUUUAUGAUUGUCGUAUAUCCUGAAUUUCUAGGUUUAUCAUGAUUAUGACAACGUAUUUGAAGAUAAUUUUGAUUUUGUUGUUUGUGAUCUUUGCAUACCAUGUUUUGCUUUAUCCUCCAGUUAUAUGUAUGAUUGAUGAACAAAAACUUAAUAGGUUUGUGCAAGGUCUGCCAAACUAGUGCCGAAAUUUGUACCGGUCGGCGGAUGGAUCGGUACGGUACCGACACACGGUACCGUUGGGCGUGCCGGUUUCACACCGGUACGUCCAUUUUUUUUGAGUUUUUCAAGUUGAUUUAUUUGGUAAUCUAUCUUUUGAAUUUUUUCAAUAAUUUUUAAGUCUAAUUUGAUAUUUUUUUGAUAUUUGAUGUUUUUUGGUGUUUCUACGACUACAGUUUAACGUAAAAUGAUGAUCGUAUUAUUUUAAAAUGAUACAAAUCAUAAAAUAAUUAGUGAGAUAUUGCAUGUUAUAAGAAGCAACAUGAAAUAUCCUCAAAUUAAGUAGUGAGAUAAAAAAUAUAAAAUAAUACAAUUAAUUACAUAUAUUUAAAGUACAACGUACAUACCGAUAUCUAAAAUCUCGUAUAGUGACGAUACUUCUCGUAAAUAUCCGAAUCAUUAGCAUAGUCAGAAGGCACAUCAACCCAUCCUUCUAAUCAAGCGGCUUUGUAGUUUUGUAUGUCCAUCCUAUAAGAAUCGUGCUUCGGGUUAUACCACUCUCGGAUCUCUCGUUGAAGCUCUGGCUCUAAGAGUUGUCCUUUUGCUGAUAAACUAACUGAUAAAAUGCCUGUGAAGGGGUCCAUCCGAAUAAGUCAGCAGCAAAAUUUGACCCGUAAACUAGGACUCACCGGUGAAUCGAAGACCAUCCUGUGGCCGUGUCUCAUAAACGGUAGUCUCAUGUCCUCUACUUCCUUCUUGGCCAGCAGAUCCAUGACUGCUAGAAGUGCUGCUUCUGAUAUCUGAAUCUAAGUGAACUGACUCCUCCUCGACACUCUUCAUUGGGGCUGCAUAUGCCAUUUGUUUUUCUUUUUUGGUGUGCUAGGCAGUUGCCUUCUUACCCUUCGUGCUACUUGCCUCUACUUACUCUUCUUGCCCUUCUCUGCCUGGCUAUAUUGGGAGGAUGUGUGUCGCCUUUUUGACUGAGUCGACCAGGUAGCGUAGUAGCCUCAUCUAAGCAUCUCUCGAUCAUAUCUCUGAGAGGAUGUUUCGGACAAGGAAUCAUGUGAGAGGGGGCCUUCCCAACAUCUUUUAACCAGCAAACAAAGAAAAUGGUAGGGGGCCCGGUUCAGAACCGGGUUGACUCGGUGCAAACCGCAUCGAGUUCGAACGGAACUGCCUCGUUUCGAACAGUUUCGGCCAGCUCCAAGCCGAUUUCAGUUAGUUUAGAACCAGUUCCGGCCUGGAACCGACUUCAAUAGGCAAACCGACUCGGUCUCCCACCGGGUCGGCUCGGUACAGGCCGAACCGGGUGGUUCGGUCUGGUUCGGUCUUCCUUGGGUUUGUGGGUAGGCUUGGGUUUAUGUAAAAAUAAAUAAGUUAAGUAUGUGUUUAUAUUUUCCAACCCAAUUAUGAGUAGGUUGGGUUUGGUUUGAGAGUCUUUUUUUGAUCCAAACCAGGGUUGACCCCCAACCUGAUGCCAACCCAUUGCUACCCUUGCUAGCAUGGCUUGCAGAUAAAUGGUGAAAUAUAUAAAGAUUAAUACUUUUGGUUGGAAAUUCUUAUUCUAUUUUAUUUUUAGUUUGCUAGUCCUUAGAGGAAUGACUAAUCAAAUAUCUUUGGUCACACGCAGUUCUUCCCAUUGCUGCUAAAGUUAAUUGCUUGGAACGGAGAGAGGUAUGUUCUCCCUUUAUUCGAUAUUGUUGGUGUGACGUUUGAUCCUUGCCAUUUGUCUUCUACUAUACCUUUUUGUUCAACAAAGAACAUUUCAGUCGAUAUCUAAACAAUAGAUUAUUGUUUAAUAUUUUGCUAUGACCCAGAUGACUUUCCAUUUGUAUUCCAGAAUUACUUGGUCAUGCCCAUUGUGACUUGCAUGGAUAAAGUCCCUAGCCAAUGCUGAUACCUGUUUUACGUUGCAUUUCCAGAUUUGAGAAAUCUUUUUUGAUGAUUCUUCCAGCGAUGAUGUCAACUGGGUCAUUUCUUCCCCUUUUUCUAUCACUCUUGGAUCUGCCAAGUAAGUUCUUUUUUCACUUUGAAUAUAAACACUUUACAGUUAUUGUUUUGUAAUAUGAAUUGACAUCAACUGGGUUUGGAAAGGUAUUGUACAAGAAUACUGCAACAAAUGUAGAAGCUGGAUCAUGUUAUAAUGGUUUACUUGACAUGUGCACUUUAUUUUUCUUUUUGUAUACUAUCUUAGUAUUGCAAUGCCUUUUUUUUUGUAGUAUUAUUAAUAAUAUACAAUUUUGGUAUUACAGUUUGACACCUUUAUCCAGUUGGCUUUUUAUCUUAUAUCAGCCCUUUAUUCCUUUGAUGUUGCUAAUGACAUUUAUGUUGAUUCUUCUUAAAAAACCAAGAAGCUUUUCGUCGUAUUUUGAUAAAGUUGUAGAAACGUUACUGGUAAUAUGAUUUUACAAUCUCAAAAUAAGUAUCUCAUGUUUUAUAGACAUCUUGACCAAUGAUUGCUGAAUUGAGCCAAACUGGCUGGUUCAGCCCAAAUCGAGCCGACCCGAUCUCCGACCGGGUCGGUUCUCUAAUGGAAAAUGGUUCCUGAUUGGAUGUGGCCAGAACCGACCAGAAUCGGCCGGUACCGAACCAUACUGGUCGUUGACUGGUAUGGGUCUCGGUACCGGUUCGACGAACCGUGAUCUUGACCACUGAGGAAUUGGUCAUGAUUUAUGAAGCUUAGAGGAAUUGAAACUAGAAAUGAUAUUUUAUUAGAAUGACAAUAAAAUGGCAGAAAAAUAAGCAUCAAUUUUUUAUUCAGAGAUAAUAGUUAUAUCUAUUAGUUGUUUGGUUAAAAUGGCAGAAGAAUAAGUAUCAUUUUUUUAUUCGAAAAUAUAGUUAUAUCUAGUAUUUAUUUGGUCAAGGUUUGAACAUGGAUUUAAGACUUGAGUGUAGAACCAGACUUCUUUCAUUGAAUUGGCUAGUGAUCAUUAUGAGAGACCUUAUUACACCUUGAUGGUAGUGAACCGGGCCCAAAUUGCACUGCAUCAGGCGUACUUGUUUCAAAGCAUAUCUUGGUAUAUCGUUUAUUCCUUUUCACUUUUUUGCUCAUUUGUAGAAAUGCACUUUUAACAUGUAACAAAUUGGCUCAUGACUCAUGAGUGGUAUAGGUUAAUGCUGUGAUAUUUAAAUACUUCUUGAAGUAUUGAUGGGAACCAUAUCAUAUUGUAUGAUACAUUUUUUGUCAAGGCAUCAUCAACACAUUACACACGCUUCGUAAGUUCGUAUAUAGGGGUUUUAAUCUUGUACCAGUUGGUGCCACUUUAUAAUAUAUACUAUGAUAUAAUGAUGUUGUAGAGCUUAGAGUGCAGCUCAACCAUAGAUGUGUUCAUUGGAAUAGAAUUCUAGUUGUGAUCAUUUUCUUAUUUAUGAUUUUAAUAACAACUGUAUCACUUAAGGUCUGUAAGUUAAAACAUUGGCAUCCAUUUUAGCUACAUCUUUUCUAAUUUCAGAAUUCAGACACCUUGGAUGAGACCUCACUUUUUUAUCCUAAACACUAUGUUAGUGUGUCAAUGUACCAUGUGAUGACUUUCAUAUUCCUAAAAUAUCCCCAUCUUUUCAAAAAAAUCCCCCUCCCAGGAUGCCCUUAUAGAAAAAUAAGUUUUCUCCUAAAACAUCCUUUUCUGAUCUAACCUUUUUAAAUUCUAAAUGAACUUAAACUCUUGAGGCCAUUGGUGCGAGGUAAGGGUCUCUUCUAGGCUGCAAAGCUUUAACAUAUUCGUGACAACUAAGAUAAACAUGGCUUUGUAUUGUUGGGUUACCAAGUUUAAUUUUCAUUAGUUUAUGAGGAUUCUUCAGACAUGAUCUCAAUAGUCAAAAUCUAACGGUUCUUAUGGACUAUUAGGAUUAAGCAAGAGGGUGUGUGGAAUAGGUUCUUUAAGAUACAAUGAUGAGGGGAGCGCUUCUUCUAUAUCCAACUGAUAUGCCAAUAGUAGGAUUUAUACACGUAAAGUGAGCCUUUUUUUUGCUUUCCAACAUUAUCUCAACACCUAAGGUCGGGAAAAUCAAUGUUCUCAAGAGUAAGUAUUGAUAUGGGGCUCCCCAACAUGACCUGCAUAAGUGAUGCACCAAAACCCAUUAUGUGACCCCACAAUGCUUGACCAUCAAAUUUUAUAUUUUAAUUUAGUUAUAGAAUUUCUUAGCCUUAUAUCAACAAGAGAAGGCAGCUGACAAAUCCUUCAUUGAUCUUGUAGAAGAACAGAUAAAAGUUAUAAACUUAAAAAGGGUAUGUAAUGUCUGCUUAAAAAUAGAUAGGAUGACAAACCUCUAUAUAUUGAAGGGUGCUUCUUCAAGUUAAAGGGAAAACUUCUAAACAGAGUGCAAGAAUCACAUAGAAGAGUAAAGAGGGGGUCGCGACCAGGUUGUCUAUCGUAUGGGUGAGAUCAAGGUACACCAUAUCGGCUCGAACCAGACAGUAUGAGCUAGUAUGGGUGGCGUACCGAGUGUCGGUAUACCAAAAAAUUUUUGUAUUAUACCGUACUGAUACUAUCAAGGUCCACCGAACUAGUACUAGAACCCAAGUGUCGGUAAUAUUUAAUUAAGUCUUUUUUCAAUUAUUUUCAAUAAUUUGAAGUCUAAUUUGAUGUUUUUUUGGUAUUUUUUUGAUGUUGAUUGAUGUUUUUAUGAUCUCGAUUUAACCUAAAUGAUGCAUCUUAUUAUUUUAAAAUGAUACAAAUCAUAAAAUAAUUAGUGAGAUGUUGCAUGCUACAAAAAACAACAUAAAAUAUCCUCAAAUCAGGUAGUGACAUAAAAAUUAUAAAAUAAUAUAAUUAAUUACAUAUAUUUAAAGUACAACAUAUAUACUGAUAUUUAAAAUCGAGUCGAGUGGCGAUGACUCUCGUAGAUAUCCGAAUCAUUAGUAUAGUUAGGCGGUACAUCAGUCCAUCCCUAACCAAGCGACAUUGUAGUCAUGUACGUUCAUCUAUAUAGAACGCAUGCCGGGUUAUAAGCACUCUCGGACAAGGUCUGCCGAACCGGCAUCGAGACUCGUACCGGUGGUGGCCGGUACGGUUCGGUAUCAUGCCAUGGUCGAUAAGGGUAGGGCAUGCCGAUUCCGUACUGACACGCCAUUUUUUUUGAGUUUUCUAUAAUGUUUAAUUGCUAAUACUCUUUUUGAUCUUUUUCAAUAAUUUUAAGUCUAAUUUUAAUUUUUUUGGUUUUUUUGAUGUUUAUAUGAUCUUGGUUUAAUUUAAAGGAUGCAUCUUAUUGUUUUAAAAUGAUGCAAAUCAUAAAAUAAUUAGUGAGAUGUUGCAUGCUACAAGGAACAACAUAAAAUAUCCUCAAAUCAAGUAAUGACGUAAAAAUUAUAAAAUAAUACAAUCAAUUACAUACAUUUAAAGUACAACAUACAUACUAAAAUUGGAUCGAGUGGCGAUGGCUCUCGUAGAUAUCCGAAUCAUCAGUAUAGUCAUGAGGCACAUCAAUCCACCUCUCUAAGCAAGCAACGUUGUAGUCUUGUAUGUUCAUCCCAUAAGAAACGCGCGCCAGGCUAUAAGCAUUCUCGAAUCUCUUGCUAAAGCUCUAACUCUGAGAAGUAUCUUAUGGCUGAUAAUACGGCUGUGGAGGGACCCAUCCAAAUAUGUUGGCAGCAAAAUCCGACUUGUGAGAUGCUUUAGGCUGUGUAGGGUAGUAGCCACCGGAAGAUGCCCCAGAUGCACCAUAUCCGUAUCCGAAUGGGUCAUAGGCUCUCUGUGGCUGUAGAUAAUAAGAUCUAGUAUACAACUCGAAACCUAAUACGUCUGUGGAUUCUACUUCAUAUGCGAGGUCAUUUGCAGCUGCAUCGUGUCCUGAAUGAUCUCGAGAAGUCCGUCUUCUAUAUUCAAUUGUAUUCUUGUAGGCACUAAUAGAUCGUGCACCGUGGUCCCUAUCCUGCAUAGCAUGUAUAAAUUGAGUUUCAUCGGUGAAUCAAAGACCAUCCUGUGGCUAUUUUAUAAAUGGUGGUCUCCUAUCCUUCACUCUCUACCCAGUAGAUCCAUGACCAUCAGAAUUGCUACUGGUCUCUGAAUCUGAGUGAACCGACUCUCCUCGACACUCUUUAUUAGGAUUGCAUGUGCUUUUUGUUUUUCUUUUUUGGUGUGUUGGCAACUGCCUUCCUACCCUUCAUACCUCUCUCUGUCUGGCUAUGCUGGAAGGAUGUAUGUCACCCUCCUGACCAAGUCAAUCGAGUAGCCUAAUGGCCUCAUCUAAGCAUCUGUCGAUUAUAUCUCUGAGAGGAUGUCUCGGACAAGGAGUCAUAUGGUACUGGCUCCCUUGUAGUUGUGGCUGAUCAGCUGAAAGGAUACGUGGAAUAUUGCACUCAACUCAUUGCCCUGCAUCAACCCUAGCCUCGCUGGCUAUGAAACUGAUCGGUCGUGGAGGCAAUCCUCGCUUAUCAUGCUCCGGCUCCUACUGCUGGCCCAUAAGCCAUCCGAUUAUAAGAUCAUCCUCAUCAUCAACGAAAGUACUAUGGAUCGGAUCUAUAUAGUCGAGCUCUUCCUUCUGAAUGCACUUUAGCCUCAACCUCAGAUUGUAGUGAGCAUAUACAAGGUCGUUGAGGUGCUUCUAUGUCAAACAAUUUCUCUGCUUGCUAUGGAUUGAGGACGAAGGUGGACCAGUUGCACUCAUAGCCACUCGAGGAGACCAUCUGAGAAAGAAUUUGGAUAGUUAGUCGCUUAAGAUUUUAAGUGCAAUGUAAUUGGUAGCAAACCAUGUGACUUCUGGUCUCAAGAUCUCUCCUGCAUACCUCAUCAGUGAAAGGACCAUGUAUGAUUAUAAAUAUACCUGGCGAUGAUUUGGUAGAAAGUCAUACACCUAAUCACCUCCUCCAUCAGUUUAAGGAUGUAUGCAACGUCAUGCAUCUAAUCAGAAGCAUCAACCGACUUGUAGAAGAAAGUCUUCGUUUCACAAUAUGUUAGAAAGUUGAUGCUCCGCUUGGUAGGAUCGGUCCAACCAUUACAUAUCAUCGUCAGUCCAUAUGUGGGCCACUUGCUCUUGUAGGAGGCAAUCCAUUUCUCUAUCUCAUUACUGUCAAAAAGCUCACCGUAGAUGUCCUUUGGGCCUGGAGAUCUACACCGAGACCGGCAGCCUAUACGGCGGAAAUGACAGAUCUAUAGUACGUAUUGUCUGUCACAUUCGCUGGGAUGUAGCUGAAGUGGAACCAAAAUUCAAUAGCUUGCCACAUAUUCUUCUGUUUAUCCUUCUUUAGUGUUGAGUCAACCCUCUGCUGCUUCGAAUCUUUGCUGGGGAAGGUAUGUAGAUCUAAAUCAUGGAUUGCUAAUUCUGGUGGAAUCUCUCUGGAUGACUUUUUUGCUACCAAAAACCCCCAGCAUAGAUGCAAUUUGGCCACUACCUCUGCUGACGACCUUCCUGACUGAGGUCUCCUAAACUCUGGAUCUGCCCUUUGCUCACAGAAUUGGAACCCGACUCGUAGUACGAGAGGCCAAAUUGAGCCCUAUGCUUGGCCACCUCAUCCUGCUACCGCUAAUCAUUCAGGCUCGCUUGCAUGGUAGUUUGGAUCUAUGCCUCAUCAUCUGGAGCGGAAGCCUCCUUUGACUUUCUAGUGUGAUAAGGUGGAUCUGCCGCUCGGCGGUCCACCUCUGCCUUCUUCUUGACAACCCUCUCCUUCGCUAUUCUGAAAUCAGCGAAGUGCUUCUUCAUCAGCUGUCAAAUCUUCUGUGGGCAUUUCUGGCACAUAGAUACGUCGAGAUAACCACCAGCAAAGUGCUGCUUCAAUCUAGUUAUCCUCCUCUCUUGAACUCUGUGUUGCAUCAAUUGCACUUCCAAUGGUGCUGGUCCAAGAGUAUUUGUCCAUGAUUUCAGUUAAUAUCAUGCUCUGGUUCUCUUUUUUUGAUGGCUCCAUUCCUGCAGGUUUAUCACAUAUGUCAGUUUAUCAAUUAUUUAAGAAUAGCAAAAUUUUGUUACAACGAAGAUAUUUUUUCUCAAAAAAUACAUCUGAUUUAUCUAAUACAUAAUACUAUUUUUUCAUAUUUUUUAUUUAUGUAUAUAUUUUUAAUAAUUUUUAAAUUAAAAAUAUGUUUAAAUAUCAUAAAUUUAAAAAAAAUAUGAUUUCUACCUCAAAACUUACUUUUGAAUUAUGUAAUACGUACUACUAAUUUUUCAUAAUUUUUGGUAUUAUUUAUAUAUUUUUAAUUAUUUUUUGACUUUAAAAAUAAUAUUAAAAUAUUAAUAUUUUAAAAAAUUAAUUUAACUCAGAUUCAUAUUGAACCUAAUAAUGGAUGCAACAUAUAUUUUUCUAGGCCUUUUGGCAUACAUCAAAGGCUACUUAUUUUUCAAUUUUUUUCAACUUUAGGCUUAGGUCACUUUACACAUGAUUGCAUCGAAAUUUGAAUAAAUAGACAAAAAUUUUAUGGAGAGUAGGUUGAAUAACCCUAAAUAUGUUUCUAAUUUUAUGUUUUUAAAAUUUUUAUUAAUUUUAUUAAUUUUUUAUUUUUAAUCGAAAUAUAUAUUUUUAAUUUUUAAAACUUAUAUAUAAUCUAAAAAUUAAAAUUUUUAUGUCAUCGGGUAGAUCGUCUAUAGAUCUAGGACAUAUAAUAAAAUCAAGCCCAAAUCAAAAAUUAUGGCAUGAUCUUCUCUUAUUUUGCAAUUUUCGAGCUAUUUUUUCAAGGGCCCCCCAAAAAUUGAAGGAAUGAGAUAGCGGAGAGAAAGUACACCUAAUUUAGGCUUGGAUCUUUCUUUUGAGCUGCUAAAUAGGCAAAUUUUUUGAUUGUUGGAAAGGAAAAGCGGCAACAAUCUGAUACUUUAAAAGCAUCAGAUUAGUUCAAACUCGGUUCGAGACCGGAUUGACUCGGUGCAAUCCAGCUGGUUCGCACCGAAUCUGCACUGAACCAACUGGUUCGGAUCCUUUCCGAUCGGUUCAGGACCCGUUUUGGUUGGUUCAGUACGAGUUUCAGCCGGUACGGGGUCAAAAUCGAAAAUAGAAGGCGAACCGAAUUGGUUUCGCACCAGGUCAGCUUGGCACUGCCCGAACUGGGCGGUUCGGUCUAGUUUGGGAGACCAUGGAUAAUUUGCUAGUGUGGCACCGGUACAGGGUCCGGUACUGAGAUGGCGAACCUUGGGUGAGAAGAUAAGUGAAAAAGGAGAGCAUAAUCAUAAGCUGCAGUAAAUGAGGUUGGAGGUGCUACUUUUGUUAAUUGAUAGUUUAAAUGCAUCCUUUCUUUGUUUUCAUGUACUUCAGUUGCAAAUUUUAAAAUAUUUAUCUUUUAAAUGUAUUUUGAGUUGCAAGUUAUAUUAUGUAAUGUGAUAUUUUUGCAUGUUAAUGACUUAACACACACAUUACACCUUGACUAAGGCAUUUAGCUCAAUACUCCCAUCUUAUUUCUUCCAAAAGUUUAUAUAGACAAGAAAAUGGGAUAAACAACCCAGAAACAGAAUUUGGAGGUCUAAGAAGGCUGUAACAAUGGUUUAUGGCCUGAGUCUUUGCAUUCCCAUUUGGAGGUGUCUUACCUAUCCUUGGUCCAUAUAGCUCUAAUUCUUGGUAUUACAUGCCUUACUGUAAAAGCUAACAAAUUACAACUUUUUAAUCAUGUCAUAAAUGUGACUGAAGGUCUUUAUGGUUUGAAAUUUGGCAUGUGGGCUUAAAGAUUUUCUUUUUCAACACGUUUAGAAAUUAAAAAUCCUUUAGUAAUACCUAUUUUUAAUCGAUUAUUUCAUUCAGAUGCUGCGCAUCACUUUCUUAACAUCCAAACACAAACAUUUGUGCAUGAAAUUAAGGGUGCUUUUAGUUUUGCUUUUUUUUUUUAAAGUUAUUCUCAAAAAUCACUUUCGUUGAAGUUCUUGAAUUAAAAACACUUUUUUGUGUGUUUGGUGUUUGGUAAUCACAUAUUAUAGAACUAACUUUUAUAGAUGGUCUUACUAUAUUUGAAAGACAAGGAGCAAGAUGAGAGCAGAAGCUAGAAACUAGUUUCUCUAACUUAUCCUAAAAGCCACAUUUUGACUUAUGCUUCUUCGAGAAGCACUUAUUAAAUGAUGUUACCAAACACUAACAUUUUUAGAAAGAAUUUUUUCUUUAAAGCCUUCAAAGGACUUCAGCAAAGCAACAUCAAAUAUACCCUUAACUCCUCUACCGAAAGGGUAGUUAUUCAGCAAGGCCACAGGGUCAAGUGUCUUGGGAAAGGGCAAAUUUGUUCUAAAUGUCUAUAUGGUUUUGCAGGGAGCUAGAAGGUGGUCCAAGAUAAUAAUUCUCCCUACAUGAUGAGUCAAUGUUCCUUCAGCUAGUCUUCAGAAGUUAAACUUGUUUGGAUGAAUUUUUGGUUCACCUUUUGAGUAGGAAAACUUUGAUCCAAUCAUUAAUUUAGGGCUGUUGUAUUACUUUUAUUUUCUCUUUUUUUUUUACAAAAUCCAAGAAGAAAGUUUAACCAGACGGAACAACAUGAUGAUGAAACACUUUGUUUUUUGAAAUUGUUUGUGAAAUCUGUAGAGCUUUUAGCAGCAAUUUUUUAUUGCUUUUAGAAAGAGCGAAAAUAAAGCAAGGAAUAGCAGAAGCUUAGUGCAAAUUCUGUCUUCAACAUCAAUCUCCAUUUGGUAUUUCAUUAAUUUGCGGAGAAAACAAAAAAAUAACAAUGAUGUCAAACAGGCCCUUUGUUUUUCAUAUUUUAAGAUAAAUAUAAAGUUUUUUAAUAUAUUCUACAUCAAUUAUGUUUUUGUAAUAUGCUUGUGCUUUCUGAUACAUUUUCCCUGCCUCAAAACAGUACUGAUAGUGGCAUUGGAAAAGGUAGAAAGAAGCUCAGGAACUCUCAUUGGCAGUAGCAUAGCUUCUAUCCAGAAGAGUACGGCUCCUGAGGUUAUAUUUGAAAUUCUUGGAGUUAUAAGUUUAUGCGAUGAAAGUUACCUCACUUAUAUGUGUAUCAGGAUUAUUUGAUAUAUUUCGAAUCAUAUUGCAGAUGCUACUUGCACUCAUGGAUGAAGCUUAUACUGGAUCAGCCAUAGAAGAUCGGGGGGGUGAUUCUGGUUCCGAUGAUAAUAAUACAAUAGAUGUUGCUGACCCAGUGUUUCUUGACCUUCUAAAAGACGAGAAUGAUGGGCUUGCUGUAAGUCUAUUCAUGUACAUUGAAUGACUAAAUAGUAGUUUAUGUGCAAGGACUCAGGAUUUUUCUUUGCUGUGUUGGGAUCUUGCUAUCAAAGAACUUCAUAAGUAUCCAAGUCUCUGAUGUGUGUCUAACUUGAAUAGUUAUCCUUGGAGCUGGUUGUGAAUGUCCGUGUAAUGUAGCCAUUAGAGCCUUGGAUAAAUUUGAUAUUGGAUAAUCCUAAUGAAUUUCAGAAACAUUAGAAGACAUUGAGCAUAUGUAGUUUUUAGACCCCCCCCAAAAGGAAAAAGGUAAGAAAACAUUGGUUUUGGUUAGUUUUGGCCGAAACUGCCGAAUGUGUCAGAAAACUGAACUAAACUGAAAAAUUUGAUCAGUUUUAGACCGGUCUCGGCUGAAAUCAAUCUGUUUCGGCUGAAACUUUAGGCUUUGUUCUUUUGUCUAGUUUGUAGAAUUGCUGAUACAUGUUUUGUGUUCCAGUUGAGGUUGUUGAUUCUAGUGGUCCGAUGAAGCUAACUAUUUUCAUCUGAUUGGCUGAUCUGACAUUCAUGGUUUCUGAUAGUUAAUGCAUCAUACUUCUUUUUUUGUUCCCCAGUACUCAUAUUGAUAUAGAUAUAAAGAUCCCAAGUUUCCAACACAUUAAAGGCGAGCUUAAAUUUAAAUACAUGGCAUGCAAACUAGUAAGUAUUAUAUGCUAUUCUGUGUCAGCAUGUUGUAGGUGUCAUAUUUCCCUUGGCAUGACAAUCCUCAAAAUAUGACACAUGGACACCCAUUUUUCCAAGUCAUCGAGAGAGAUUAGCUUUGCUAGGAAGUGCAAUUUUUGUACUUGAUAAUGAUAAAGUGCUCAAUACAUUUGGGAUGCUAUUAUGGUUGAUGUGUUUGUCACAAUUGGAAAUUCUUCGAUAAGUAAUGGUAUAUUAGAAUCUUAGAGAGACGAGACAAAAUAAUUUCUAGCAUAUUGGUCAUUGGAAAGCUCGUACAAGUGGUACUUGAUGGCAUGUUAGUUGCAAUUUAGUAUGUGGGCGAAAGAGGAGAAAUGUAGUAAAAAUGAUCAUGAUACUGCUGACUUAGGACCUAGGAUAAGACCUAUGAUCGGCAGGCUAGGAGUUUGUCAACCAGGGUCUGCCGCCCUGAACCAGUAUCGGAUCAGCGUGGAAUCUGGUACCGGAUUAGUUUUUUUAGAGAACCGACCGGUACAUCUUUUGUAUCGGUCAAUACUGCCAUGUAUCGGCCGAUACCGGUCAGGUUUUCAAAUUUUUUUUAAACCAUAGCGCGGCGCGGUGUGGUUUUUCAAACGAAGAUCCAACAGAGACAAAACUUCAAGAAAAAAAAACGCCGGAACCCAAAAUCCGGCCAUUCUCCCGAGACCUGUACGGGACCGGUACGGGACUAGUACGAGACCGGUACGUACCACUCCGAGAUGCCACCGGUAUGCUGACCGGUACUGAUACGGCGGACCUUGUUGUCAACUAUACUGGAAACUUGCAAUAUAAAUAGAUUAUUGUGAAAUUGCAAAGGCAGUCAAAUGAUUGGUGAUUUCAAGUCAUAAAGAUUAUCAAUUUUUAAUGGUUACUCAUUUUUAAAGACAACACUUUACAAAUGGACAACUACAAAUUCUGUAGAUAUUUCCAAGUGUAAAACAUAUAUUUAUAUUAAUAGAAGUAACAGAAAUAAAGACAAUCUCCUAACAUGUAAAAAUUUCUUUCUAAAUUCUAUAACACAAGUACCAUUUUUUUUUUUAAUGAGGGAAGGGGAGGACAAGCCACCCAAUAUUAUUAAUAGAUAAGGAAGGUACAAAAAAGAGAGGGAAGGUACAAAAAAGAGAGGGAAAAUCCCGGUCUGGGGGAUCAUUAAGGUACUAAUUUUUUAUUUAUUUAGGCCUCAUGGUUUGGGAAGUCUUAAGAUAUUUUUGCUAAGCUUUCCUUGAAUUCUUGCUUAGUUUGCUAACAAAGUGCAGAUGACAUAUGUAGAAUUUUCACCUUUGUGGAAUCUCGAGGAAAAUGAAAUUUUGGAGUUUGUUUAUCAUGGUUUUAAAUCUCAUGCCCGGUGAAUCAUUGAAAUACCAAUUUUUUAUUUUAUUUUUUUGUUCUUUGUUGUUUGUAAUAAUUUAUAAAAGUUUUUAUGGCCACAUAAAUGGUAAAAAAAUGGUGGGGUGGAGAUUACUAGGUUUGCAAGACAAUUCUAGCGUAGAGGAUGCUGAAUUUGAGCACGUCCUCUCCCUUUCUUUCUCUUCUCUCCUCUCUCUUUUUGUUCCUUUCCUUUCUCUAUUCUUUCUUUUCCUUCCUCUUUCUUUUUGUCUCGCAUGCAAAUAGCCUAGUAGACAACAAAAGAGCCAUGGCGCUUUCUUUUUCCUAACCAAGUCCCAACUCUGUCCUGGGUGUACCAUUUGACCUGGUCACUGACCCAAGUGAUCUCGACAGGUACCAACCAAGACAGAUUAAGCUGACCUAGAUUAGGGGGACUUAGGGUCCAGUAAUCAUCUCAAGACUUGGUCUCUCAUGGAAGAUCGAGGAUGUUCGGGGUGGAUCAAAUCCAAUUAGGACUUCAAUCCACCAUCUAUCUUUUCGGUGCUCUUGAAGGCUUAAUCUGAAUACUUGAUAUCGUUCUUUUAUCAUAUCCUAUGUUACACAAACUUGGUUUUGUGUGUCAUGUGUGGGUGAGUGUCCGAAGUGUCAGGUCCUUUUAAUAUCUUAGAAUUUCUUUAUAAAUAGUUGUAUACAAGUUCAAUACCAAUGUUGUGUUAAGGUGUUGGGAAUGGGUACUCUAGGCUAAAUUGAAUGAUCUGGGUAGCAUAGCUCAUAUAUAUCUUUUAAUUUAUUAGGCGGAGUCAACAACAUGAUUUUCAACAGAAUAUAAAGAAGAGGAAGACUUGGCCACAUUUGAGUGGAUCUCCACUCAGAUCUGGUUAAGUCUAGUUCGGAUGAUGGAGGUCCCACAUUGAUGAUUCGAGCUAUUAAAUGUGAUCUACUACAUCUAAACUACUUAUGCACCAAAAAACUUGUGAUUUGGAGACCUCUUGCCUAUGCAUCAAGUGGUCAAAAAUUGGAUAGUUCAAAUAACACAAAACACUAUAUGUUUUCUUUAACCACUUGAUGCAUAGUUUAGGGAUCUCCAAAUUACAUGAUCUUUGGUGUGUUAGCAGUUUACAGGAAGUAGAUUACAUACAAUGUUGGAUCAUCGAUUUGAGACCCCUAUCGUUUGAUCUAGGUUUGAUCUAGACCUGACUAGAUUUGAGUGAAGAUCCACUUGAGUGGAACCAAGUCUAGCUCAUAUCAAGAAUACAUUAUACGCAUGCUAUGAAUUGCUAUGUUAUGAUUAAAAUUUUUGGCAUAAACUGAUGCAUAGUAUAAUAUGACUAAUGCGUGAAGAACCCAUUAGGAAGAGUACAAUGCUAGUGCAUAUGCCAUAUAGUAGUCUGAAUCAUUCAUAAGGUGAAGAAUGCAUGAACAAGUGUCUAUCUCGACUGGCUCCAGUCAAGAACCAAAAUUGGAGUCCCACUUACAAUGAUGUGGUUUAGAAAAAAAAGCCAUGCAUUCCUUUCGAAAUCCAAUAUGUAUCAUGCAAUUUGUCUCCAAGAUAACAUUUUCGGAUAUAUUUGAAGAAGAGUGGGAGGUGUUGCUUAACCCAUGGUUUGCUGAAUCUUGGUGGCUGCCCAACCACCAAAUCUUCCUCUUCAUAGUGGUUGGUUACAUGAGUUAUCUAAAUUUUAUCUAUCCACCCAAUACUUUAUCCAAGCAGCUUUAGCCAUAAGAACCUUCUGAACCCCAUGUGGCAAUUGUCAAUAGACCUUUGCUACCUGUGAUUAAGCAUUGAUUUGAUAGUUGGAUUGUCUUAGAAAUUUGUGAUCGGGAGUCCAUCUCAAGGGAUUUAACAUUUAAGGUUUUAGGUACUAUGGUGCAGGGGUGUACCGAUCCCAUACUAGAAGAUACCGAUUAUGGUAUGCUCCUAGGGGUGGCAAUUUUUGACUUGUUAACUUGAUUUAGGCCGAGCCCACCUAAGCCAACCUAUUAGGUACAGAUUAGCCAAUCCAGACCCACUAGUGGGAUGAGUCAGAUGUUCGAGUUAGGGCCCCUUAACCCCUCGAGUCAGGUAUGUACAUAUACAUACAGAUGUGUAUAUUCAUAUACAUAUAUGUACAUACGAUGUACAUACAUAUAUACAUACACUCAUACAUUCAUGUUUACACAUAUAUAUGAAAUGGUGGAUUUGUGAGGUGAUUUGUGAUUUGUAUUUUAUUUUAGUGUCUUUGCUAUGUCAUUUGGUUUAGUCCAAACACUAUGAAAAAAAUAUGGACUUGGGUUAGGUAUAAUGGGGUAGCUGGUUGGAUGCGGGCAAGGUCCAGGUCGUGCAUACUUUCGCUAGUUGGUCGGGUCGGGUUCAAGUCAAGCCCUAUGGACUUUGAUAUGUGAUCUCAACCCAACCCAAACUUGAUACAGCUUGUAGAUUGCUACCCCUAUAUGCUUGUGUAUCUACUCCUGGUUUGCCGACAUAUCAUGGUACAGUUGGUUUUCAAAACAUGAGGAAAUAAGUAACUAGUAAGAAAUUUAAUCCAAAUCAAUUACAAUAAAUUGAGUUGUGAAUUAUUACUAAAUCACAUUUGUUUAUUUGUUCAUGCUAACAACAAUCUUACUCCUAUACCAAUAUUAAUUAACAUGCACUAGGCCAUUAGUUUUUUUUUGUCAAGAAAAAACUUUAGGAAAUUAUUUUUAAUAUGAAAUAUCAUUAUAAGUUGUAUUUUAUGGUCAACACAUUUAUCCCAUUUAGAAUUGAUAAUUCAAUACUUUAAGCUCUAACAAAAUGAUAUAUUUUCUCUUGAAAAGAGUUGGGGGAUCGUUAUUGAGCAUCAUAUAUUUCCUCAGGAAUCACGAUUGACUUAGUUUGGGUAGUUUGGUCCCACUAUACAGCCAUUGAAAAUUACAACUAGAUCUAGGAGAUAUGGAUUUCGUAUGUCAGGGACAUGAAACCAUCAAAUGUGAGCAACAUCCUCCUUUCAAAUUUUCAACUGAAUUUAUGCUUGAGUUAAUCAAUCUACAACUGUUGUCACACCCAUGAUCUGAUGCAGAAUCACUAAUGGGAUGUUUGAGUCAUUGUUACCAUCUUAUUGUCACCAACUCACCAUGCAUUAAUGGCAGUUCCAUAAGAGGAUCACCUAGAGUCAUCCAUAGCUUUAACAGUUUUAGUCAACAUUGAAAACCUUUUCUUCGUCAGCCGAUGCAGAAUCACCAUGAGGUGAUGUAAAAUUAAUAUUUGGAUGCUUGAGUCAUUGUUACCAUCUUAUUAUCACCAACUCAAUAUGCAUUAAUGGCAUUUCCAUAAGCGGAUCACCUAGAUUCAUCCACAGCUGUAACAGUUUUAGGUGUAGCAAACUGAACCUAUUCUUUUUCAGCUCGAAGCAAAUCAUCUAAACAUUGUGUUGACUAACCAAUUGACCUCAAAAGCUUAAGCUGAUGGGGAAUGAGUCAAUAAUGUGCAUCUCUUAAUACAUUGUACAUGCUACACAUGUACAUCAUGUUAGAUAUCAGAAGCUGAUACCAGUAGAAAGGAACUCAUGACAUGUGAACACUCAUCUCAUGAAUUUUCAAGAAUGCAAUAGAUGAAAUAUAAUGAUGCUGUUUGGGUGCCAAAUCUAACAGAGUAUCUUAUAAAGCGCCUCUUAGGUGAAUGAUUUGAUUUGUCCUAUAUGAGGAACUAAAAAAAAGCAAAAGAUAGGAAACCUGGAUACAACAAUGCCCCAUUUAUAUGUUUGUAUGCCUGGAAGAAGAGGAAGUGUGAUCAGUUCAAUUGUAAUAGUGAGAUGUUUUAUGCAAUUUGUUGAUUUUAGUUUAGCUUCAUGGUGACUAUUAGUUUAGUUCAAUUGUAAUAGUGAAAUGUUUUUGCAUGCCACGUUUGAUGCAUAUUUUGGAAUCCUUCUUGUGGAAGAGUUGGCGAAUCAGAGAUGCGGAUUAGUCAGAGGUCUUUUCUGGACAGUGACAUUAUUGACAGCUUUGAAAGAAACAAGCUUUAGUUUGCAUGUUGUAGUGCACAUAUUAGUCACUUCCAUAUAGAUAUUACCCCUGCAUGCCAUAUGGUCUUGUUUACAUGCAUGCAUCAUGUAUAAGGAAAGAGAAAACAAAAGCAAUAGCAAAUAGGUUCUUAGUUAUUAUUGAAAUCACAUGUUUGUUGUUAUCCUCUUAGUGAAUGUAAGCUUAUUAGGAUAAGUUAUUUUCAUUCGAGAUCUCAUUGUCAAAGGUCACAUGAAUUUGUUAAGUUUUUAGAGCUGCAUUCCAGUAGUUCACUGGCCCGACAUUGGCGUGAUUCAUGAACUGCUCUGCUGUGCCAUGCCUGUGCUUGGCAUGAGUGCAUCAAUAUGCAGCCAUGUCGUGUGCCAGUAAGGUAUCUCUGUUGAUUGAUACAGAUGGAUCUCUAAUCCUCAAAUAUGUGUUCUUUUUCAUCGGCUAAGAAGCUAAGACUUAAUUUAUGACCAACAUUAAGUUUGAGAGGGGUGGUUUCAUGCUAAAAUCUUGACUUGAGUAUCAUAACUUUUCUCCAAUUAGGUUUCCUAAAUGCAGCCCACCACUUAACCUCCCAUCCCCAAACAUGUAAUUAACAUAAAAAAAGUCAUUAUCAAAUUUACCCUUGGAGGAUGGAAAGCUAACUGUUGAUCUGUUUUUUUCCCCUAUUUCAAGAAAUCUCCUCUCCCAUGCACCUUGAAAGUUAACCAUGGAAAAUUCAAUUUGUAAUGUUUCCCUUGAAGGAUAAAGUGGUAAUUGCUGAUCUUUUUUUCGUUUUUUGUUGCAUUUCAGAUGCGCCAUUGGACCUCUCCUUCGAUGGUUUCAUUAUUGCAAGCUACUACCAACGCCCCUCAGUCUGAUAGGCUGAGACAAGCACUUUAUAUGACACCUCGGUUUCUUGCUCUAUAUUUUACAACAGCAUUGAGAGAUGUCAAUGAUUGUAUGUUGCAUGUAUUAUUUUCUCGUUAUGUUGUUUCAUCUUAAAUUGGACUCAUGGUACAAUGAACUUUCUAUAUGAAUAUUGCAGCAAUGUUAUGUGCAUUACUUCCACUUCUUAUGUCGAGAUUUGAUACAAUGUUCCCGGACAAGGUUUUCUCUUUUGAGGUAGGUGAAUGACGAGCAUGAAUUGCAAAAAUUCUUUAUUCUUUUAACUUGAUAUUUUGAUCAUUAAUUAAUAAUUGAAAGCAAGGCUUGCCGUCUCGGUACCAGACCCUGUACCGGUACCAUCUUAUUACUAUGUCGGUAGUAUGGUAUCCGAUUUAGCAUACCAAGUGUCAGUAUGCCCUCUCAAUACUGUAUACCGGUUCGGUACCAGUAAAGUAUGGUACAGUCAGUAUACAUCGAUACGGUAUGGUACGGUUGGUAUACACUAGUACGGCAAACCUUGAGUAGUAUUCUUUCAUGCAUGCUUGUGCAUAGGUGCUCAAAUAUGAACACUGCUAGAGUGCAAGAAAAUUGAUUCAAAACAUUGUAAUAUGGAAUUUAUGGAGUUCAAAAGUUGUUUGCUGGAUGAGAUGAAUUAAUAUCUAAUUGAUUUUCAGUCUUAAAAGAAACAGCUUAUCUUAAACUAUGAAUUAGUUAAACAACAUUCAGAAUUUAAUUAGAUGUAUAUUCUAUGUUUUUGUAAUAUUUUUAUAGUGUCUUGAUAACUGAUACUAGACCAGACAUACAUCUGGAUCCGAUUCGUUGCCACAUCAUUAUGGUUAUUUCUUCAAAUUCCCUUUGUAUUCCUAUAAUAUAAUUAGGUUGCAAAUACUGGAUAGAAAACCCAUGAUCAAAGGUCCGCAAAACCCCUGCCUAGAACUGUACGAUACAUUACCGAUUUGAUACGGUAUGUUGGUACUAUACGCAACCUAUAUGAAGACAAGCUUCUAACAUUUUUUUAUCACUCCCAGCCCCAGAAUGGGUUGGUAUUGGUAGGUUCCUGGAGAUACGGAGCAGUUCCGCUCAUUUCAGACUGUUAUAGACUGUUUCAGCUCAUAUACUGAACCAAACUUCGGUACUGUAUAGGUACCUUACCGUUAAGUACGGUAUGGCCGGUAUAGGACAGUUAGGGUUGGUAUGGUAGACCUUGACCGUCAUUGUAACUAAAUCUAGUUUGUAGAAGAAUUUUAGAUGUAUCAGCAACCCUAAACCUUAAUAGCCCAAUUCUUCAACCUAGACUGCCCCUUCUGUUUUUAAAAUCCCUUAAAGCUUCCCCACUCCUUUGUGUUUUGCUGAUUUAGGUAACAACGCCUUCAAGCCACUCCUUGGCUUUUUGAUGACUGUGAAAUCAGGAACAGAUGUUUAAUAAUUAAUAGUUUUGAAUUAGAUCAAUUUUUAGGAAAAUAGUCAAAAUACAUUAAGCUCUCUCUUCUAUUAAUUUCUGCUUUGUAGGUUCGAAAGAGGUUUUCAGAUUUCAUGCUAGCUGCAUUUCAACGAUCACCUGAUUUUAUUGCACUGCUGAAGGUACAGUAUUUACUAGUUUUUAUAUAACAAAUUGAAGUUAGCUUUGCAAAUCUUUACAAGAUUGUGGCUAUGAUCUAUGGAUGUAUGUUUGGAACUGAACUUUAUUCACUUUCAGGAUUUUAUUUUAAUUGUAGAUCUACUUUAUAUAACAACUUUUGGUAUCCUCUUCUUUGUGUAAACUAAGGGCAUCUUUGGAAGGGAUGGGAUUCAUUCAAAUCCGACUGGAUUUUCCUAUUCUAACAAUCGUUGGUGUAGGAUUGACUGUUUGGGAAGUUGAAUGUGUGGAAUAAAAAGCCUCCAGAAAAAUGCAGAUCUGACAGCAUAAAAAGAAAAGUCCUAGGGUAUACUUUUUGUUGUCCGGCAUUCAUCAUGAUGGCGCUAUCUCCCUUUGCUUCUUGUCCUUGUCUGCCCCAGCUGGAAGGUAGCAGACACCAUCUGCGAUAUCACCCUGAAGUCCAUCCCCUCUGCAUCUGAGAUGGAACUUUCCAUGUUCCUUUAGCUUAGACCUUGUCAAGGCAUCCCUCUCGGUAUUGAUGGAGCGAGAAUGGUGGGAAGCACCAUGAUAGCAGUGGUAGGAUGAAUAAGAAGGCUGCGGAGGAUAGUAGUUUCUGUAUCAUGCUGCUUUACUGUGCUUUCCAAUGAUUUAUGAAAUGCCAUUAGUAGAGAUACCUAUUCAAGUCACUAUGUGUUUGGUCAGAUUUCAAUGUGGUUUUUGGGGUAAUGGUUCAAUAGAACAAUGUGCACUGGUUGUUGUGAUGGUGAACCUGGACUUGGUUGUCUAGGUUAGAGUACGUGAACUUAAAUUCUUAAGUGGUAAGCAUUUUAAUAACUACUGGAUUGGAAUUAUUAGAACUUAGAACUUAGAUUAUUGUAGUUCAGUUGUUGAAGUUUUGGUAGCAGGGUAUUUGUCUGAUGCCCUUGUGAAAAAAAUAUUGCACAAACACGUCAUAUUGGAUAGUCUUGUCUUAGCUUAAGAUACAGAUAUUGAAGUGAGUAUUGAGUAACGAGAUAGCUGUUAGAGUCUGAGUGGAAAAACCUAUAGCUCUUUCUUAAAGAUUUUUUUUGGCAUUUUAAUUGAUAUACAUGAAUUGAGUUGUGAAUGUCUUCAACAUUCCAGUUCUCUGCUUACUAAAAAUAUGUAACUUUGAAAUUUCUAGGCACACAAACAGUGAUGUAAGUGGGUUUUGAAUGUGUUUUCUGUGAACGAAAUCAUUGGUUUUGAUAUACUUUCAUAUUAAACACCAUAUUUCAUGUAUUACAUUUUUUAUCUUUUAUUUUGUAUUUCCUCGAGUAGUCCUUUUUAGGUUUUGUAUGGAUGCUACUAUUCAUAGGAAACAUCUAUACAUUUCAUAUAUAUAAAGAACCUCCUCCUGUCACAAAGUAGUCUUUAAUUCACCCUUUUUUGCUAGAGUAUCCUGUAUGAGAAAAAACCCAGAAGAGAGAGCAUCUACUCUUUUUUCUUUAACAUUAUAUAUUUUAAAGGAGCAUACAUGCAAUUACAUGCUGUCUAUUCGAAGCAAGGAUUGUUGUGCUGAAACUAGGGCCCAAACCGGCUGCCCAGUGGCAUGAGUCGGUAUGCCCCCAUGCCGUUCCAUGCCGGGCUCAUACCGACACAAUAGAGGAGGCGGGGAGAGAGAGAGAGCCGAAGAGAGAAAGAGAGAGAGAAGGGGGAGAGAGGGAGGGUGGCGGACAUCUGGUGGAGGCCAACAAAGAGCCGGAGAGCUGCGUGGAGGGGCGGAGGAGGGGCUCCACUUUCGGUUCCCUUGUUUCAUUUGAAAUAGGGGUCUCGGAAAGAGCUCCUUUUAAAAAAAAAUUAAAUAAAGGUGGCAAGGGGUUUGCCGACUUGACUUAAAAUUUUCGAAAAUAAAAAGGAGUCCUCUUCGGGACCUGUUUCGAAUGAAACAUGAAAACCGGAGGCAGAACCCCCCCUCUACCCCUCCGCGCGGCUCUCUGGCCCUCCGUCGGUCGGCCGCCCCCUUGUUCUCUCAUCCUCUCCCUCUCUCCCUCCCCCACUCCUUUCUCUUUUCCUCUCCUUCUCCUUCUCCCCCUCCGUCCUGGUUUCUCUUUUGGUUGCUGGAACCGUCUCGGUCUGCAACUGGUACGGCUCAGUACGUCCAUUCAGGAUAGUUUCGACAUCAUGAUUCGAAGCAUUAUUGACCUUUACUCGUCCGCAGAAGGCUGGUCCAUGGCAUUAUGAAUGUAUCUCAUGAGUAGGACAGUAUAUCAAUCGUGGUGCACAGGGGUCUCAAUAUAGUUCAAGGGGAGUGCUGCAGAAAUGUCUCCAAUAUCUGAGCCACAUUUGAACCAUAUUUUCUAUUAUAUAUUCAUUUACUUCUUGAUCUGAUUUAACUAUGAAUAAAUCCUAUGCGACCCCUAACAUGACUUUUUCCCAACAAAAAUAUGUUGUUUUGUUCUCAUUUUCCUGAGUAAAAAAUAGAGGGGAUGAUGUUUUUCAUAUUGGUCCUCUUUUAAAGGGUGAAGCAUGUUUGCUCUUUUUUUUGUUAAAUAAAUUUAUUUUAAUUUUGAAACUCAUAGAUUUGAGAAGGGCCUUGGCGCAACAGUAUGGUUGCUUUAUUAUGACCUAGGUGUCAUAGGUUCAAAAUAUGGAAACAACCUCUCCGCAUGCAAGGGUAAGGCUGCAUGAAUCUGACCCUCCUCAAACUCUGCUGGCUGGAGCCUCGUGUGCUAUGAUGCCCUUUUUAUUUGAAACUUAUAGAUUUAUUUUUCUUUCUAUAUCCACACAGUAGAUAGGAUUAGGUGUCUAUAGGAUUUUCCACCCACUAGAUAGCUGGUCAUUUCCUACAAGAUGAAAAUCUAAAUCAGUAAAUUCCUAUCCUUAGUAUAAAUAUUCUAAUUGCCCAAGUAUGUCCUCAGUGUAGUACCUGACUAAGAGCUUAAAAUAUGUGAAACUUUUGUAAUUGUAAUCAUCAAAGAUAACCACUUCAAAAUACCAUAAUUUUGUCAUGGCAAACUUAAAUGAGAGUGAUCAUAAUUCCAAGUUGAAGUUUACACUAGUGAGGUAACCUCUACCAAAGUAAGUGUGAUUUUGUAAAACCCUAGUGUAAGAUUUGUUUGAUAGUGUGAUUAGAAAAUAGAAAAACAUAAUAGAUGUUUUUUUCUUUUUUACAUUUGGAGUGUUCUUUGAUUGUAAAAUUUUGCAAUAUAUUUACCUGAUCAAAUGGAAAUGCAAUUGCAGAAACCUAUCACAGACAGACUUGGGGAAGCAUAUGACAGUCCUGCCAAGGUAAGAACAUCCCCUCUGUCCAUGUAUGCCCUUUCUAUUCCUUAAUUUAAAAGAUAUUGGAGCUCAUAAUGUGAGAUUAAUAUCUUAAUUUCUUCCUCUCUGGUUUUGUUUUGCUAUUUAUUAUGUUCCAAGAUCAUGGUGAGCGAGAAUAUUAAUCGUGGAGUUCUGUGCUGAGCUUAUAAGUCCUAUUAGUCUAUAGAUUCUAACAUAAAUAAUCUGCAGACAUUUUUUUGAUAGGUCCCAUAUUUUGUGUGAGGUUUGUCCUUGAUCUUUCUAAACCAUAUGGUGAUGUGUUUUAAAAAAAAUGUACUAAUGUUUUCUCUGAUGCCGUGUGUCUGGUAGGUAUAGAAGUGAAAAAUGAUCAUGAACAUUCCUCAUUUUAACAGUUGACGACAUACAAUGAGCCUAUUUUGUGUCUGUAUCUCUUUAACCAGAUCUAACUUUUUUGUAUUAUUAGUCUUGGGCAAUACUCGAAUGACAACUGCCUUGAAUAUAUCAGUGGUUUUCAUGUUUAAUAAUACUGCAAUUAUGUCAGAUCCCAUGUGCACCAGUCAAAUGGCGCGUGUAUAUUGGCUCUAUGAGAUUAUGCCGGACAAGACAUUGGCUUUGUCUCAAUUGUUUUUGUUUGAUUUCAUCAAAAUUUUCCCUUAUUUGUGACAAAUGAAAGUUAUACCCAUGUUGGUGGGUGGGUGGGGGCCUGGGGGGUUUGCAGCUAACUUCAUUUAUUGAUCUGGAAGUAGAAGUAUUAGUUCUAAAUGGGGAUUAGAUGUAGGGCUAGAUUUCCAUGCUCAAAUUGCAAUGGCCCAAAAUUUCCUGAGAUCUGACCAUCAUAAUUAAUCAAAACUUCAUUAAAAUUAAAAUCCUCAAAAGGAACCAUGACAUCCAACAAUAUAACUAAAAUUAUAAGUCAAAACAUUUAAGACAAAAUUCACUUUAGAACUUGAAUAUAUCCUCUAAUACACAAUAUUAUACCUUCAACAAUAUCGACACAACAUGAAAACUAUGAUCUGGUGUCGCUUCCAUAAUCACUAGAUUCAAAUAUUAACUUCGAAAUAUCAAGUCCACCUUAAGUAGGUCAACUAAGGCUUUAAUAAAUCACCCUAAAAAAAUUGUAAAAGAGACAACGUGAGCUACAAAGCUCUGCAAGUAAACUUCUAUUAUGGUCAAGAAUUUAAGUUUUCAUUGAAAAACACAUGGCUCCUAAUCAUAAAGCAGAUCAAAUUAUCACUAAAAAUCCAAGUGUCAGUUCACUGAAAUAAGGUGAAAUCAAAAAGUUUCAAUAAGAAAACACAAUUGCGCUGAAAGAGUUAAAGCAUAUGAUUAUCAAAAAGAGUUCAGAUAAUUCAUGCUAGAUCACAAGUCAUAUAUUCUUCAAAAGUUCAGGCAAAGGUUCAAUGAAUCACGCCGAAAAUGAAAAUUCCAGAAAUUAAAAUCCACAAAUAGGAAAUCAAAACACAUUUACAUCAAAUUCUAAUAUUUUAUAUAGUUUUACAUUAUCUUGUCAAGUUAUACCCUUGAGGCCACUCAAUAUCCUCAUUGCUAGUGCAAAUGAGGCCAUUCAUAUCCUCAGAGUUCACUCAUACUGCUUGGCCGAGGGUUCAGUUGUGCCACCUGGCCAGAGAUUCCUUAUCGAUAAUUCAAGUGACACCACUAUAUACAACCUUUCAUAGGAUCCUUAUAAAUUCUUAUUGGUAAUCCAAGUGAGGCCUCAAAUACCACCCAGACAGAGGUUCCUCGAAGAAACUCAAGUGAGGCCUCUCAAGUUCUUCAAUUAUGACACUUAUUUUAUAUUUGAAAAUGCUCAGAAAUAUCAGAUGAAACAUUCAUUAGAAGCUCCAAAAAUAAACACAUGUAAGCGAAUUUCUAGUGAGAGGAGAAUCUAAAGUCAAUCAUAAGUAUAACAUAGCAAUGAAUGAUUCAUAAAUUUUUCAUAAUUUCACGAAGAAACUAGAACAUGAUUUUAAGGUAGCAUAGGACCAUGAACAAUUUCAAAAUCAUCGAAACAGAGACAGCUUUAGAAACUAAAUCAAUUAUAGUAUCCAAAAUUCAAGAAAACCCAUGGUUUAAAAAGUGGCUAGUGGUCCAAGGUAUCAAAAUAAUACUUGAUCUCGAAGGAUUUGAUGAACCAAUUUCUGUCAAAAUUCUGAUGCAAAACAUACUUGGACCUUAGGGUUUCAAAGAAUUUCAAAACCAUUCAGAAGCUUAACACUGAUUAUGGGAUUCAAAGAUACUAGUGAAUUUAGAACUUAAAUGGAGAAGGUUACAAGGAAAAUCAUGUUAUUUUGGAAAGAGCCAUGCAUCUAAGACUUUCAAAUCAUGAAUGAGCUUAAAAUCGACUAAGAGAUUCGAAAGAAACACUAAUCUGACAAAAACUUAAAUCUAAAGCCAUGGAGAAAGUUACUUACCUAAUGAAGAAAAUGAAACACAUCAUAUCCAAGUUUCAUAAUCAUCUACUUCUUGUUCUUCUUCAUUUCCUUCUCCUCUCUGGAAAACCCAUCCAUUCCUUUCCCCCUCCCUGAGUUGCCCCCUAUCACCCUUUAUUUACAGAGUUAUGGAGUUGGAAGGGCAGUUUAGAAGGUGGGGUCCACUAGGUCGGUUCCUCUAAAAAGGUGGAUCAGCUCAGUCAGUUGGCAGGGCAGGUGGGUUAAGAUGUGGCUUAGCAGGCAGUCCACUUAGGACAGUCGAGCAGGUAGAUUGGCAGACUUAUUUACAUGUAUUAUUGUUCAAGUAACUUAAGACAUUACAUGUAAACAAGAAAGUGCGGCAAGUGCCCCUUAUUUGAAUUUGUCAAAAAUUCUUAAAAAUUCUAAUUCUUCAAGAGUAAGAAGUUAAUUUCCCAAAUUUAGUUCAGAGCUCUGAUUUUUGGCUCCAAGACAAAAUUGUGUCUUUUUAAAUGCAAUGGUAUUUCUCGAACCUUAUAGUUUUGUGAAUUUUUUUUCUACCUAAAUAUGAGUAAAACUCAAAACUCUGGUUUGAAAUUAGUCUCCAAGGCAUAUGACCUAAAAUGAUGCUUGACAACACUAAGCACAUUCCAUAGUUUCAAGGAUCACACAUAUAGAUGUAUUUGUAAGUUUUCUAGUUAUAAAUUUGUUUGCAACUCAUAUAUGUAAAUGCAUUUUAUAUGUGGGUUAUAUAAGAUAAAAUAUUAUCUGCAUGCCCUUCUGAAAAAAAUAUCUUUCCUUGCACAGACAGAGUUGGCAUUGCAUUUGUGUUGGGCCAUUGGGGAGCAUGGAGCUGGUGGCAUCUCUCACAAGGAUGUGGCUCGUGAGCUAUUUGAGAGCUUAGAAUUGCUUUUAUAUGAGAAUCUUUCAUCUAGGUUGGUCCAAAGCGUAGCAAAAAUAUAAGUCUUCUGAAACUGAAUACUGCAGAUCUGUUUUUAAUGUUGUUUUAUCUUGUCCUGGGCAGUCGUUUGGGCUUGGGACAGGAGUCAGCUGUUGACUCAAAUAUUGCUGCUUUUAGAAAAUCUUCGCAAGCUAGACUUCUUUGCUUUGUGGUGACAGCAAUCGCGAAACUUGCAACGUGCCACAAUGAGCUACUUCCAAGGGCUCGAGUGUCAUUAGCUAAGGUUUGUAUAUAUUCUAGACCUAUUUAGGAAUUAUAAAUGGCAGGUUCAUAAGCUUAUCAUUAGUUUUUCAAAUCAAUAAUUGGAAGAACUUUUGCAUUUCGUGUAUGUCAGGUGGCUCGUUCUCGAAACUCAGACAGGAGGGUCUGGAGACGUGCUAGUGAUUAUUUGGGACUAAUGAGUGAACCAGCAAUCUGCUUGUCUGUUUUGGGAUCCUCAACAAGGCAUGUCAAUGGUCCUGGCAUUGUCAAUUGGAGUGAAGGAGGAUCGAAGAUGAUUGCUCAUAUUCCAUUUUACAUUCUUAACGAACAAGAAGGUAAGUAGAUUUUUUUUAAAGUUUUUUCAGCUAUCCUGUAGUGCUUCUAAGAAAUACACAGGAAUGCCUGACACCCGAAUUAGGGAUUGGAUAUCUUGUUGAAAUAAGGUGUUCUCCAUGUAAACGUUCAAAUAUUUGAAUAUUUAUUAAGUUUAAUUACAAAUAGGGAAGGUCAAAUUGCCUAAAUAAUAAAGUGCCUUCCAAAUGGAUACUUAAUGAGAAUACAAAAAAUCAUAGUCAAUCUUAUACAAGUUUUCCUUUGCUUGUGUAACUGUUUGUUAUAUUAUAGUUAUAUUGCUUCUGAGCCACUCUGAGAUUCUUCAAAUUUUAGUUAAUUUAACUGGAUUCCAGCUACACAUUUAUAUUGGCCUUUGAACAAUGUUAGCUUGUUUGCUUUAGUACCCACAAUUUCUUUAACUACCCAAUGUUUCUUUAAGUAUUUUUUAAAUUUGAUUUUGUUUAAGUGGACUUGUCAGGAAGCGUGUUUACCUAGAAUGUGUAGUAGACUGAAGAUACUUUAUUAAACAUUAACACUACUAGUAUUAGUCCGAAUGUGAGAUGCAGGGGUUCUGGUCCCAUUAGCAGCCAUUUGUAAAACUAACAUCAUGUAAAACAGCCCUAGGGAACCCUUUUAAUGCCAUAGCACGCAUAAGUCCUAGCUUUUAUAUCAUGCAAAUCCUAUUUAUAUCAUUAUUAUAUUUGCUAUCCUAUAGCAUUAAAAUUAAUCUUUCACAUAUAGAAAUUAGGACUUAAUUACAUUUAUUACAUGUGCAUAGCAUUGUAUGGGUUCCCUAUGCUUGUUUGCACUAUAAGAUCUCAUUUAGUCUGUAGAUAUUGUUUCAACUAUUUCUCAAAUUUCAAUUCUUAAUAAUUUCAGGUGGAAGAUGCAAUUUAAUUAUUAGUACAAGUUAGUUUGUGUUUCAUAUCUACUUUGUACUUGAGGUUAAAUAUAUGGUAGUUUCUUAAUUAUGAAUAGAGUUCUUUAGGUAGAUGUAUGUCUAAUAAGACUCUUUUAGGGUUUAAUUUUUGCAAGAUUUAUGUGAUUUGCUAUAAGGAGAGCUUAAAGAAGGGCAUCCCAAUGCAUGAAGCUCCCACCACUAUGGGGUCUAAGGACGGUUAGAUGCAAGAUUCACCGAACUGGUAUUGGAGAUUGUACUGGCUGGCAACCGGUUUCAUAUGGUAUACAUUGGUACCAUAUCAUUUUGGGGCAUGCAGAGAAUUGGGAGAGGGAGUGUCACGCCCCGGAUCGGGUCCGCGCCACGGCCGUGCUACUGCAAGCUACUGCCCGCAAUAACACGAAGUCUCAUUACUAAUAAUUCAUAAACAAAAGGGUCAUUUCAUUCAUAAAGUAUUUCUCCAAAAUGGAGCAGUACAGAGCUCUAAAUUUGUACAUCCAAAAUGAAUUUUCCCACCUAAAAGUCUUCCGGCUCUCUGCUCCUAGCACCCUAUAUAUCUGAAAGAAAAACAACAGAAGAUAUAUAUGAGCUAUGUGGCUCAGUAAGUGACCAUGUACUAUCUUACCGGAUCAAGCAUAAGAAUUCAUACAAUUAGCAUUAUUUAAAGGAGAUAGCAGUUAUAGCAAAAUGCAACAUUUCAUAAAGAAUAUAUUCAAAAAUCCGUCAUAAAACAAUGUAUGCUCUGGCCAGGCAAGUUCAUAAAUGUCACGGCCCGCCUGUGCGGGGCAAGUGACCAUCGGGCCCACAUGAGGAGGAACACGGGGCUCCCCGGCCAAUUGUCCGGUUCCGGGGUUCGUACGCGCGCGCAUGCGCCGCACUUAACCCCUCACUGAUUUUGCUUCUCCCCAAAAUGUAUCUACAGGAUUUGGAAACACCCGUCUCAUAUGCCCAGGCUCAUGAUCAUGUUUCAAAUAUCAUUUUCAUGCAAUAUAUCAUAAUCAUAAUUCAUACCCAAUCAUAUAUUCAUGAAGAAAUACUAUUUAACCAAAUUCAUGAAUCACAUGCAAUCAUAUGCUUGAUCCUAAUUUUGAGAAAAUACACUAUAUCAAAUACUAUUUCAUCAUUUCAUACUUUCAACUUAAACAGUGAUUUGCAAUCCAUAAGAUUUGUGCAGGGUCACUUACCUCGGUUCGCUCUCGGAACUUUAAUCUUGUCCUGACAAAUUCUCUAUACCUAUUAAAUAGUUCAAAAUAUAUUUUUCAUUAUUCAUCUAUUUAAAACUCCGAAUUAAACUUGAAUAGAUCUUAAAUUCCAACCGGGUAAUUGAACUAAAAUCCACUUAUUCCCUAUUUAUUUUAUUUUUAUUUUUAUUGGUUAGAAAGAUAUACGAUAUUUGCAAGGAGGGAGGAUCGGAGGAGUUGUGGCUCGGGCAUAUCCGCAGAUCAACAAGCUUUUCCACCGAUGCAUCACCGCCUUGCCGCAGUCCCAGACCUCCAAUGGCCUUCUACUGCUUACUAUCCUUCAAUUUUUUCUUGAUUUUGGAGAAGUGGUUCUACAUGAUGCUGAUCCCAGUUUAAGGACCUUUUUCCGUUCAUGCUUAAGUAGGGAGUUUUCAGACCCUGUUGUUGCGGAAG